AAAUAAAGCAGCAAGCUCUUACUGUGACCACACACACACACACACACCAAACUUUUAUUAUAGAAUAAAUCUAAGAUGAUGGAUGAUGGAUGCGUCACAUAAAAGUUAAUUAAUUUAAUCGCUGUCACUGCUGCUGCUGCUCUCGUGUCCGUCCUCGUGCUUCUUCUUCUUCUCCUUCUUUUUCUUCUUCUCUUCACCGUGGGCGGCGCCCUCGCCGCCGCCGACACCGGGGAUCUUCUGCUUGAUCUUGUCCACCAAGCCCUCCUUGUGUUCGCCCUCCUUGUGUUCCCCGCCGUGAUGCUGCUGCUGAUGGUGAACAUCAGUAGUGCCGACACCGGGGAUCUGCUGCUUGAUCUUGUCCACCAAGCCCUCCUUGUGUUCGCCGCCGUGAUACUGCUGCUGAUGGUGGACAUCAGUAGUGUGGUGGUCCCCACUAUGGUGCUCUCCCUUGUGCUUGUCCUCCUCCUUUUGCCCUCCUCCCAUGUGAAGGGCUUCUCCGAUCUUGUGAAUAACUCCUGACAUUUUCCCUUAAAAUGACUCUGUUCCUCUUCUUUUCUUUUCAAUGAAAAAUAGUUGUUUGCGAUCUUCUUCUGGUUGUUGUUGUUCUUGUUGGGUGAUCUUGGCUUGGUAUUUAUAGGCUCCAAAAGGAGGGACUAGAAUUAGGAUUAGAUUAUAGAUUAUUUUAAUACAUUUUAUGGCAAAUUCUGAUUUGGAAAGAUAAGAUUAUCCUUUUGGUUUUCCUUAUUUACCCUUUUGCACCCAUUACGUGUACGCGUCUUCGUGGGCUUUUUGGGUAUUUCAAUUAUAUCGCCAAUGCUAAAUCGACACGUUGCAUAUCAGCCGCGGUACUGCCGUAUGUAGUUGUCCAGAAAUCGAGUCGAUUCUCGAUCGUACAAUAAUUAAAUAAUAUUUCAUACGAAAUGAGUUUAGAUAUAUUUUGAAAAUUUAUUUUUAAUUUAAUUAUACGUGUUAUAUAUUUGUUAAUCGAAUAGAGGUCCCACGUAACAGAGUGUUUCUCUAAUCUUUCAUUGCUUUUAAUUAAUUUUACCCAAAUAAAAAAAAAAAGGAAAAUUUAGAGAGAGAGAGAGAGAUAGCGAAUUAGAAGUUGAUUGUAAUAUCGACACCUGUCAGACAAUCAAAUAUCGUUAGUUAAAAAUCAGUUGUCCAUAGUCAUGGUCAUAGAUGGCGAAAUUGAUACUUAUUUUAAAAAACAAAACAAAACAAAACGAAACGAAACUAAACUAACAGAUGUUGAAAUGCAGUUCCGUGUUAACAGUCUGUGAUGAAUCUUUAUCUUUGAGUAUACCAUUCAAGAAAUUAUCAUUCAAAAAUUUAUUUAAAGCAGCAGCAAAUCACCUUCUAAUUCCUGAAUCAAAUUAAUUCGAUUUUUUUCGAGUCGAUCAAUUCAUUAGAGAAUUAACGGGCUAAGUUAAAGUUUUGUUAGUUAUUUUUUUUUAUAUUCCUUUAGAUGAUAUGAUUGUCAUUGUCUUUCUUUCUCUGGGCAACAAUAAAUACAAGAUGUGCAAAAGCGUAGUGGAACAUAAUUCGAUUAUGGGUAAAGGGAUCAGUCCGCAUAAUGAGGAUAAAGUUUUUCUCUUUAAAAAAAUUUAACCCAAAGAAAAGGUCGUAGUUUGUAAUAGCCGACACGCAGAUAGAUCACAAAGCAUGGCGGUCCUGAUGGCAAUAACUAACUGAUAUCUUCUGCGAUGAGAGGAGAUCACGUGGUUCUGACACGUAUCGCCCCAUCAACUGAUGUUGUGGCUGCAAUCGCGGCCCAGUCUUUAGAGAGAAGAAAGAUCUGUUAUAACGGGACCUACUUUAGCAUCUAUUUACGACAAAGCCCCUAUUUACUCUACUUAGUAGUAAUAAUAGCAAGUGUCGGGCUUGGAUUCCGUGUUGCUUUAAAUAAAUAUCCGCGUAAAAAGAAAAUGCUUCUUUAAUCCCUUCCUUGUAAUUUUUCGACACGUGGAUGGUUGAAAUUAGCGUGCCGACAUCUUAGGAAUUUUAUCUUGGAGACGGGAACACUGCAGUAGGCAAUGCCAUUUUCUUCGGAUGGUGUGUGGUGACAACGCCUUGGAUUUUGACGUGCAAAGAAUUUAAAUUGAAAAAGAAAAAAAGAAAUUACCAGAAUAAGCAUAGAAGAGAUAUUUUUCUUUUUGUCCUUUUUGGAAUGGAAAAAGAGAUCAAGAGAUUGUUCCAGUAAGUAUUACACAUGUCACAGGCUUAUUCAUGCCCCAUUAUGGCAACUUUUAUGCCUCGCGGUGCCCUCGGUUCCAGCAUAAUAGCUAAGACUUCAAUUUUUCUAACAUAUUUUUGUUACAAAUAUGAACGGAGUAAAUGUAUAACUUUAAUCCUUUGAAUAAAGAAAUGGCGGUUCUCCUGCUCGUUAAUCUCACUUGAAUCCCACCCAGGCAAAAUUUCUUUAUUUUAUUUAACAACAAUUUAAAGAAAGAAACUUUUGCCAGGUUGAAUUUCAAGUGAGAUUCAUUCGUGGGAGAAGUGCCAUUUCUUUAUUCAAAAGAUUAUGGUAAUUACAACUUUCAAUUUCGACAUAAAUUAAAAUUAUAGGCUAUACAAUAAAAUUGCCCUAAAUUAGUCCUAAUCAAUUCAGAUUAUAAAUUUAGGUAUAUUUAUUAUUUUAAUAUAUUAAUGUUCUAUAUAUAUAUAUAUAUAUAUAUAUAUAUGUGUGUGUGUGUGUGUAUNNNNNNNNNNNNNNNNNNNNNNNNNNNNNNNNNNNNNNNNNNNNNNNNNNNNNNNNNNNNNNNNNNNNNNNNNNNNNNNNNNNNNNNNNNNNNNNNNNNNNNNNNNNNACAGCAGAAAAUAUUUGCUAUGGAUAAGGAGACAUGGUCCCACGUCCCACCGUCCCAAUGCAUAUUUUGUAUGUUUCCAUCUUUUCUGAAAUUUUAAUAAAUAAAGUUUUUUGACCACUUGGCCAAAGAACCUUACCCUUACACAACUUUGUGGUUGGAGUCCUGUGAUACAUGUAAGAACUUAUUUUUUUUCUUAAUUAUAAUAUUUUAGAAUAUAAUUAAGUGAAGUAGGUUUUUUUUUUAAAUAUGAGUAAAAUAGAUAUUUUUUAAAUAUUAAAGAGAGUAAAAUUUGAAUAAUAAUAUAUUAAAAUUAAUACAAACUAAUUUUAAUAAUUAUUUAAUUAUAAAUAUCAAUUAUAACAUCAUAUAAUAUCAAUUAUAAUAUCGUACAUCUCAAUUAAUUCAAUAAUAAUAAUAAUAAAUGUUUUUUGGGAUAAGUAAACAGUCGCAUGGCGACAAUAGUGGAUCUGGAUUAGAGUGAAGUGGUCCCAAGAGGCUGAGGCUGUGGCUGUGGAGUUCUAAAAGUCAAAAGCUCCACGCACUUUGUUUCAGUACCAUACACACUGAAAAAAUUUGCAUUUGCAAUGACGAAAACUUUUCACGAAAUCAAAACACCUCUAAACUAUUUUGUUAUCGAUAUUUAAUGGAGGGGUUUCCUACCUUUUUAACACUCGAUUCACGCCUUGACGCAUCUCACAGAAAACCUCAUGAUCCCAUUAAUCUUGCGUAACAUAUCUCAAAGCCAAUGCAAGUGAUCUUGUUGCCUACUUCCCUUUGACGAUUCAAAAUUGUUGAAAAUAAUUCUUUUUUUUUUUAACCUCAAGGAAGUGACAAAAUAUAAAAGAAUAUUUUCUACACAUUAAACAUCUAGAUUUUUUUUUCUUUUCUUUUUAGAGUACUUGCACAAACCGUUUCCAAGAGAGACCUUUUUUUUUUUUUUUUUUUUCCGGGCUUGGUUACUAAUUUGGUGUGAAUACUCUAUGGUGAAAAAGGAAUCACAAAGCUGUAAUCAAUUUUUUUGCAUCAUUUAGUUGUAACUUGAACAUUGGGAGGUUUAUAAAGAAUUAAAUUAAUUAUAAUGCCUCUACUAGGAAAAGUUCAGAGUAGCCCUUCACAACUUUUUAAAGGCUUAAUAAUUUUCGCUUUCUUCCUCUCAUAACAUAACAAAAAAUUAAGAGCUUUACUCGUACACGUCCUAUGGCUAUAUAGUAUUGGGUUCUCUACUUCAAUCGGCUAUCUCAAACCGAAGGUUAUUUGGACACACCAGCAGUCACGUUUGGAAACUCUCAAAUGCUUGGAUUGUAAUUCUUGUGGAUGAGAUCAUCUAAAUCUUGGGCCCAAGCCGGACAAUGGGUGGACAAAGAACCCUAAAAUACAGUAAAGCUUCUAACACCCCACUAAAACUCUUAAGAAAUCCUACCUUUUAUUUUUAUAUCUCUUUCUUUUAGAAAUUAUAGAGAAGACAUAGCAUUUUAAUUAUUUUCCCUGCCAUUGAAAAUAAAUUCUGUAAACAUAUUUUUUCAUAAUAAAAUUAUUGUUAUUAGAUAAUUUAUUUCUUCAUUGUUUCAAAAUUAUUAUAAUUUUAUCAACAAAAUUAGUUAUGUCAUAUAUUAGGAUUAAAAUUAAUUAGGAUCCAUAACUUGUAAAGACAUUUUAGUUUAAUUGAAUUCAUAUUUGUCAUUUUAUGUAAUUUUCAAUAAAAAUACGACUAUGAGUGCAAAAGUGGGAUGACAUAAUAUUAAAAGAGUGUGAAAUAAUCGGUAAUUGAAAUGGAUUGAAAUCAUAAUAGAGUAUGAAAAUCAGAAUAAAUUGUUUACUUUAGUUGUAGAAAUCAAAAUUAAAAUAAACCAUAUUAUCAUUGAUGUAUAUAUGUUUUCUUGUAAUCGAAAUGAAUUCUUAUAAGUUACUAUAAGACCCUUAUGGUGUGUUUACUAAUCAGAAAUCAGAAUGGAGUGGAAUUUGAAUAUAGAAUGGUAGGGGUAUUCGCGGAUCGGAUUUUACGGAUUGGACAUUAAUUCAUAUCCGAUCCAUAAUUUUACGGAUUAUAAAUUCUCAACACAAUCCAAAUCCAAUCUAUAUGUUUGCAGAUCGGAUGCGGAUUUGACUCAAUUCAUAUCCAAUCCACUAUUUGACGGAUUGAUUUUGGAAUUAAAAAUUUUUAAUUUUGUCCAAUCUAUGAGGUAAUUAAAUUUAAAAAUCUAAUAUAAAAAUAAUUUAUUAAAUAAAAAAUUAACGUAAAAAUAAUUUUACUACCAAUUAAAUUCAAAAUUGAACAAGAUUUAAAUAAAUUAAUUAUUUAAAUAAAACUAGAAUAAUUUAUUUAAAAUUUUUAAAUAUAACAUAUCGAAAAAAAAUUCAUUUGUUUAGAUUAAUAUAUGAAAAUUAACUAAAAUUAUGAAUUUAAAUGUUGAAAUUUGAGAGCUUGGAUGUAACAGGAAGAAAUUAAGAAACUUGAAGAACUUGAAAAGAAAGUAACAAAUUAAGCUUAACUACCUCUAAUGGUGAAGUGAAACAGUGAUGGUUUGUGCGUGCAAUGGGGUACAAAUUUGGCAUUAUAUGCCAAAAUAUUUUGUUUGGCUUUAGAAUUUUUAAUGUUUAGGAAGCUAUAUUUGUUUAUUUAAUUACUCAAAUAUUUAAUUAUUUUUUAUUUUAUGUUAUUAUUGAAUAAGAUAUAAUAUUGUGUUAAUUUAGCUAUACUUUAAUUAAUUAAUUAAUUUAUUAGUAAGUAGCAUUGCUACAUUUAUAAGUUUUAUUUUUUAUUAAAUAAAUACUUUUUUUUUUCAGAUUCACGAAUUUUUACGGAUUUACAGAAAUAAAUCCAUAUCUAAUCCAUCGACUGUGGUUUUUUAAAUUUUCAUUCCAAUCCGAUCUACCAAUCCACAAAUUAUAUUUUUACGGAUCGGACGAAUUGAGCGGAUCAAAUUGGGUUCUGAACACCCCUAGAGAAUGAGAAUCAAAAUAAAUUAUUUACUUUAGUUGUGUGAAUCGGAAUUGGAAUAAAUUGUACUGUCAUUGAUGUGUUUACUUUAUCUUGGAAUCAGAAUGAAUAAUUUCAAAUUACUAAACUGACCUUAAUUUUUUAUUGUAAUAAUAAUAGUAGUAGUAGUAGUAAUAGUAGUAAUUUUCUAUUAUUAUUAUUAUUUUCUCUCUCUUUUGUUUUUAUUUUUUUAUUUUUCUCUUCUUCUUCUCUUCCUCUUUUUUUAUUUUUCUCUAAUUCAUCGAUACUUCUUCUUCUUCUUUUUUCUUUCGUUUUUAUUUUUAAUUUUUCCCUUCUUUAUCGUUCCUUCUUCUCCGUCCAUUCUCUAUCUUCAAACUCUUUUUACUUUUUCUCUUAUUCUUCAUUACUUCUUCUCCCUUUUUUUUUUUUUUCUCUUCUUUAUUAAUUCUUCUUCUUCUGCGUCUAUUCUUCAUCUUCAAAUUAUCAAGUGAAAAAUACCCACGGUGCCUUACAAGAAGAAUUGGUUUUGUUUGCUUCAAUUAUUUUUUGUAUUUUGUACUUUUGAUUGUUUCAAAAGAGGAUAAACUUGUAAUAAUGCAAUUUAAGUAGGGAUGUUUUAGACAAUUUUGGGUAUGAGAGUCUAAUUCCCAACCCCCCACUCCCUCGUAGCAGACUCCCAUUCUUCAUUCCUAACUUGGUGUUGGACCUACUAAAAUAAAUCCCAUUCCCCUUCUUAUUUCAAGAAGCAAACACGAUUUUGAUUUCAAUUCCCCAAUCCGAAAGUAAACGCACAAAAAUUGUACCCAUAUGAGAUUGCUUAUCCUCGAGUUUUUAGAUUGAAAAAAAAAAAGGAAAAAAGAAUGGCCCCAUUAGGAAGGGAUUUUAAGUGUUAGAUAAAGCCGGUGUUAACCAUUAGAAGGUCUCCGACCUUCAACUGUAAUAUAUUAAACCCAGAUAAAUUUACAUAUAAAUCACACAAACCAACAUGCCAAUCAAAUAAAUUACAUCAACUAACAACAAUUGACACAUUAAUUUUCAUAAUACAGAGGAUGCAGAAAAUUAAAAUGUUUUAUCUUUUCUCCUUAUUUGUGAAUUGGAAAAUGAAAAUGUUAAACAUACAGAAGAGUGAAACAGGAUGGAUAUAUAUACACACACACACACACACAGCUUUGGAGUUCAAUGUCAUCGUAUUGCUCCAAGAAGAUUGGCGCCAUCAAGCUUUGCACCUUCCAGAUGCUGUUUAAUCAUCACCAUAACACCUUCAGUAGACAUUAAUACAUAAUAGAAACACAAAAUUCACAUGAUCUGAAUGUCUGGUCUAUUUUACUUACCGUAUCUCGAAGAUUUACGUGCCGUAAAUAAGCUCUUUGAAGGUUGGCACCCUUUAAAUUGGCAUUACGUAGCUUUGCACCCUGCCGCAUAAAUGUUCGAAGUUUCAACAAAUUAAAGUCUCCUGAGAAAUACAUGUCACGAAAAAGUAGGGCUGAAACUUGCAUCUAAUGUACAAGAUUCAAUCAGGGGUGCUUGUCCCACAGUGAAAGUGUAUGGGGGAAAGUGCACUUUCACAAACCAAAGGGGCAAGAUGUGAUUAUCACACGAUUACAAAAGGACUGUAGUCAAGAGAGAGAACUGAACAUGCAGCUUGUAUUGAGGCCAUGAAAAUUGAUGAAAAGCAGUAACAAGCAACCAUUUUGAAAACACUUCAUAUGGUCGAAUCAAUAAAUCAAAGCUAAAAUGAUGUUGACGAUCGAUAGCUUUUAGGUGAUAAGAGUCUUGGCACUACAGUUAAAAUUAUUAUCUAGGAGUGCACACAUUAAUAAAAAAAAACACAACCAAUAAGCAUGCACUCUUAAUCAGCAUAUAAAUUAACAAGUUAGUUGCACCUUAUGUUGUUCCACAAACAGAUUGCUCGAACAAUUCACAAUCUUACCUUCAAAUUAGCUCCUUCCAAAUUAGCUCCCUCUAGGUUGGCAUUAGUAAGAUCAGCAGUCUGAAAAGUCAAGAGGACAAACAGAUUGCAAUUUGAUUAAAAUCUCAAAGUAGCAACAUUCUGCAUGAAAGAAGAGCAGCACAAUUGGCAACAUACAUUUUAGAUUAAGAGGAUGGGAUAAAAGCAAAAUUACAAGGACAUGAAGCAAAUGAGCCAUGUUUAGUAUGGCAAUUUUGACCCAAUAAUUGUGGCAGGUCUUGGAGAUAACAUAGGCAUACACAUAAGGCAGAAGCAAAUACUGUCGCAAACUCCUAGCUAACUACAAAUGUUCCAUAUAGAAAAAAACACCUGCAAAAGUAAGGGAAAAAGCAACAGAUAAAGAACUCAAGAUGCUAGACCUGUAAGUGUGCAGAUCGCAGGUCUGCUCCACAGAAGCUGCAGUCUAUCAAGCAAGCAUCUGCAAUGAUUUAAGAUAAAUUUGAAUCCAAAUGACAUUUUACCGCAAGUAGUUCCAGCCAUUUUGGGAACAAACAAGAAAUGCUAUUUUGUAUUCAUUGUAAUUCCUUAAGCUAAAUAACAAUCAUGUGCUAUCUUAACCAAGGUACAGUUGCAAAUUCUGAAAUUGUGAUGCCAUAGGUUGUUCUUAAUCUUUUUGAACUGAAUAUUGAAAAAAUAUUCCUUCAAUCAUAAAUGUUAAAUAAUUAAAAGAACUGUGAGGGGGGNNNNNNNNNNNNNNNNNNNNNNNNNNNNNNNNNNNNNNNNNNNNNNNNNNNNNNNNNNNNNNNNNNNNNNNNNNNNNNNNNNNNNNNNNNNNNNNNNNNNNNNNNNNNNNNNNNGGGGGGGGGGGGGGGGGAAUGAAUAAGCGGAUGCAUACAGAAAAUUAUGGAAAAUCUGUUAUGGAAAUAAUAUGAAAAUGGGUAUGCAUAACUACAUACUGAAUCUUGACUAAUUUCAAUUUAAUUCAGAUAAGAAAUUCCAGUAUGGGAAUUGCCUUGUAAAUUUGCACUCUGAAGAUUUGCACCAGCUAGUAAAGCUCCACGAAGGUUUGCCCCAGCAAAUUCACAUCUUCCCUAGGCAAGAUAAAACCCUUAAAAGGCAAUUUUGAAAAAUACAUAUAAUUGGGAGAAUAUCCAGUAUUGCUUUGACUCUCUUACUCACGCAAAGUUGCAUUGUGAAAAAUGGAACCCUCAGCAUCCACAUCCUGUAUCAAGAACAGACAGAUUCAGUAUGAUUAAUAUAACUGGUUGCUGGAAGACAGGACAAAAUCGCAUCUUGUCACUGUCAACUUGCAUGUUAAGAAUUAAACACGAAAACUGCAUGCUGUCCAAUUAUAAGAAACCUAUAAAAUUCAAAUCAACAUCAAUACUGGCUUAAGGAAGAUAUAAAAAUAAAAAUUAUACCAACCCGAAAUUUCGCAGAUUGAAGAUUUGCACGUGAGAAGAAAACAUUUCUAAGACACGCAUAGCUGAAGUCCACAAGUGAAAGAUCCUGGCCAUUUUAAUAAGAUAGCAUCAGAGGAAACAAUAUCUAAUGAAUAUAUAAUGUUCUUUCUUGCUUAUCUGAGAAUACUAAUGAGAUUAUCAAAAAAACUCUAAGCUACUGCUAAGAAGUCUUGUGUUACAUGAGUAUGAAUUGAGGAGGUAAAGAAGACCCUUCUCCAAUAAGUUACCAUAGAAGCCACAUAAAACCCUAAAGCAGUUACAAACUUACAAUGACCAGAAUAAACCACCCCAACUAUCUAUUGGCAAGUAAAAUCACUUCUCUGGAUUUCUGAAAACUAGCAAAACAAAUGCAUAAAUUGGCAAAUUCGAUGAUUUCCUCUGAAAACCAAAUUAUAGCAGACAUAAAACUUGGAAGUAUUCAUAGAAUAAAAAUCUUUCAAGCACCUCAAUUCAGUAAUUAUUACCAGCUUAGAAAGAUCAAGGCCAGAAAGAUUAAGUCCUCGAAAUCUGACUUUUUCAGACUGUAUACACUUGAUGAUAUCAAUGCGUGUUAGCUCAGUAUCUAACUCAUUAUCUUCCUUUCUCUUAUUUAUGACAGCAUGGAUUCUCUCAAUUAGUCCCUGAAAUGAAACACAUUAGAUGCAAACUAUUAUUUGAAAAAAGAAAUACAUUUUAUCCACUAACACACAUGGAUUUCAACAGCAAUCAUACAAUAAUUGAGGAAGGACGGUCAUAUCAGACUCAUCUGCCAAGAUUCAAUAAGCACAUCAAACUUGUUUACAUGUAAUUUCCACAUUCCACGUGAAUUUAUAAGGUCUGCCUAAGCAAACCAAAGAAGGCUACACUCAGUACUGUGUGUAUACUGCCUUACCUUUGCUGUUCCCCAGAUACCGUCCUGCAAUCCAGAUACUUAGCUGUGAAGUUUCAAGCCAGCGAAACCAUUUUAAAAGUACACAUGGACACAGAUACCAUUAUCUGAAUCAUCUUCGAUAACAAAUUAAAAUGCCCUAGCGUUCAAAAAACUUAGGAUCUCUUUAAGUGAAGUUCCUUUAAAAAAGUAGAAAAAAACUGAACAACAAUGUCAUGCUAAUAAAAGGUAAAAAAAAUAAAAUAAAAUAAAGCAUAAGGACAGAAGUUCACCAGGAGCAUGCCAGUAUAAACCAAAACGACCACAAAUCUCAACCAUAAAAUUUAAAGUAGUAAAGUAAAUAAUCAAGGGCAUGCAGUUGGCACAGGUGCUUCCAAAUAAAAUGAUGAUUCUUUUCAAACAGAAAAAAGAAAUGGAUGUUAAUAAACUAGAAGAAACCAUGUCUUACAAGUAAUUGAUAAUAUUCUGCUUCCCGUAGAAGCUCUAAAAACUCUGACUCUGUUAAUGUGGGGACAGCCCCAUCCCUUAACCAAUUCAGAAUAUGCCGAAAAUGUUUUCCGUCCCUAUCAACAAAGAUAUAGCCCUGCAAUAAUUCAAUAUGCUCAAAGAUAAGAAUCUGAAUAAUAUACCCAAGAGAAGUGCUUUUCCCUGGAAUAAUAAAAAGAAAAUAAGUCAAAACGUUUUUCUUAAUGGAAGAACACAAAGGAACAGCUCUAUGACUAACAUGAAAACCAUAAAUCAGAAUAAGAACCCAAAACUGGUCAUUUGGAGUUUCACCAGAUCAAAAAGAUCACAUGGAAAUAAAAUUGUGAAAAUGGGAUUAUUUAUGCCGAGGUCAUGGCUAAACUGCAAUCAUUACUCCAUUUUUGGUAGAAGGAGAAGAAGAAAGAAGAGUAGGUGAGUCAUCAUUCUUUCAGGUGAGUCAUCAUUCUUUCUCUGUGAUUAAUUGAUAUGAUGGAAGUGUUGUAGAUAUUAAUUUGAUAGUGAUUCCUCCCUUCAAAAGAAUUCAUUCCUUUUUUUAUUAUUUCACAAAGUUUAACUAAGACUGAGUUUUCUCAAUUUGAAGGCAUCGUGCACUCUACCCCUUUCUUUUCCUCACAUUGCUUCUUCCCAAUCCCAAAGGGAAGAAAUCAAGAAACAAUUACAAUUUUUAACUAUUCACCAGCAAAAACAAGGCAAAGAAAGAUGCUGAGUGUAAGCAAAAAUAAGAGAGUUAUACACCUCAGAGUCUUGGCACACAGUAUGGCGACCGCUGAACAUAGCUGCAAGCAUAGAUUCAGGCUCACGACGAGUCAGAGUAUCAAUUGUUGUAUAAAAUUUCUUUCCCCCUGGAUAUUAAUACAUAAAAUAUAAAUUUGUUCACUUAAAAGCAUGAAUUGUGCAAAUUUGUCAAUAAUGUCAUUCUUUCACAAACGUUCACCGAAAUGUAUAACAAUAAGUGCAUCAUAACAUAACUAAACGGCUUAAGAACUGCGCAGAUAUUACAUACAGUAGAGAAACAAGAAAUAGAAAAUGAGAUUUGCCCUUUUUAAACAGAAAGCAAUCAAAGAGUAAACUAAAGAGCUAAUAAUUCACAAAAUUCAGUUGAUUAAACUCAUUUACAAGUAAUUAGCAACAAAAUCCAAGCUAAAUAAAAAUAAUGAAAAUUAGGUUCUUAUAACAUCCGUCAAUUCUAUGAAAGUUUACCACGAUCAGCAACAAAUAGAUAAAUCGCAAUAAAGAAAAACCGACGACAUGUCGGUUGUGUAGUGCAUAAGUAAAGGAAUUUGCAGAUGAUGUAAAGAGAAUGAGGGAUAGUAACUGACCGAUGUUGAGACGAACCAUUGAAGACGAAUCGGAGUCCUUCGCCAUUGUCGAGUGUAAUGACUUGUCGUCUUACUUGCGCUCAUAGGUAUUUAUAUCAUAGCUGACACUGUUCGAAGGACAGCAAGGAUUUGGUGGGCACAAAUGCAUUUUGGAAAUUGGGCUUCGGCCCAAGAAAUCGAAAAUCAGAGGCUUUUUUUUAAAAAAAAUUUAAAAGGAUUAGAAUGUCUAUAAAUUAAUAGGGCUGAGACCAUCUUAAAUCUAUUAAGUAAAAGAGAUAUUAAAUAUUUUAUUAAUUAAUAAUUUAUUAAUUUACAGAAUUAUUUAUAAUUCAAUUAACAUACAUUUAAUAACUAAACAUUCAAUGUACAUAAUUUCUGAUUACAAUUCAAAGCACUAACAAUACUUCAUAAUUUCUUAUUACAAUUCAAGAAUUCAACCUCAUAGCUUUUAGAUGCAAUAAGAAAAAUAAGAAAUAAGAUUCAGUUAUAUUUAAAUUUUAAGAAAAAAACAAUAAAAUCAUAUUUUAUGUAAUUAAAAUAUCAUAGUCAACUACAUUUGUAAUUUCAACAAAUUAUUACUCUAUGAUUUAAAUGAGACCACAAAGUUAUAUAAGAUUUUAUCGAAAUUAUUAAUUUAAUCCAUUAGUCCAUGUCAAGACCUUGAAAAUUUAAUAAUUAUAUAAUAGAGAUUAUUAAUUUAUCGAGUAUUAAUUUAUAGAAGUUCUGAUUGUAUAUUAUUUUAUAUUAAUAAAGAAUAAAGUAGCAUUCUUUUUUAAUUCCGAAGUAAUAAAAUUAUGGCUAAAUUAAGAGAGUAGAUAUAUUUUAUAACUUGGUUUAAUAACAUCACGCGCCUCCCUUGUAGUUUUGCAGCUUUGAAGCUUUAUAAUGAAUCCUAUUAGCUUUGGCUGGAAAGUUAUAUUGUUAAAGAGAGUUUAUAUAUUAAACAAGGUGAUCUAAUAUUUCCAAAACUAAAUUUGGGAUCAAAAAUAGAAAACAUUUGCAUGUUUUUACCUUUUGGAAGAAUUACUUGAUAAGUGCUUCACAGAAAAAUGCUUGCUAUUAUAGAGCACCCUAAAAAAAAUCCUUAAUAAUUGAGGGAUCAUAAUAAAGUUCAAUUCUAAAUCUGUCAGAUAGAUCGAAAGUAACAAACCAUAUAUAUUUAAAUCUAUUUAGUAAUCCAGGGUUACAAGCCAAGCGUGCAAUAGCCAAUUCUGAAAAUCAAAGCUCAGCCUAUGCUCUCUGAGCACAAAUAAGAUCUGAUAUAUACAUAUCGAAUCCUCCAUUAUGUGGAGUGAAAUUUCCAUCGUGUACGGUGUACCUAACAAUGAGAAAGCAUGGCAGCAUAAAUUCAUCUUCCAUGUUAUUCUACUUAUUAGUACUGGUUCCCUCAUAACUUCUCCAAAUCGGGGAGGUCUGCAAUGUGUAAAGCACGUAAUCAGAUAAAAGAAAGAGAGCCAAAAAAAAAAAAAAAGGUAACAGCCAAAAGAUUAAAUUUCUUUGAGAAAUAGAAAAUGGGAGCUUUUGGCAUAGGCACAGAAUAGAAAGUAACAGAGUCAUUUACAGUUGUUCAGAAUAUGCAAGCUGAAAACAACUUUGAAUGCAAUGGACAAUUCCUCCAACAAACAAUCGAAUUGGAUUGUGGAAGAGACAAAAGCUUAAUGAGGUUAUGGUUUUGGCUAGGUGAACUCAAAAUUCUUUUAUAGACCAAGUAGGUAAAAACAAAUCCCAUAUAGAUGGAUGAACCUCAUACCAUGAACAGUUAAUCGCGAACACUUGCAGGCUUAUGCACACGACUAUGAAGAUACUAAGGGUUUCACCGAUGGUAAGUGAAAAAUAUAUGAUGUAUAAUUUAAAUGGAAGCACAUAGUUUCGGAUUGAAUUCAAGGUUAAAGUUCCACAGACAGACAGAAGAGAUGAAGCUUAAAAACUUACAGAGCAUUCCUUCAUCAUCACUGCUUUCAUCAUUUUGGCCAACAUGCUGAAAAAAGAAUAUGAUUCAAGUUAAAUGAUUGAGCAACAAUAAAAAACGUGCAAAAUUAAUGCUCUCUCCACAAAAAUUUCAGUCUAUAUUGGUAAGAAGAAACAGGAAGAAAAAAUUACCUCAGCAUCAUCGUCAUUGGAAGCCAAAUCAGCUGUAAAGACCACAAAAUGUUUGGUUAGAACCAGUGGAAGUCUUACUCUAAAAUUUUUAAUUUUUGAAUUUCGAAAGAUCUCGUAAUGACAAAGAUUUUCAUAUCCAGUGACCAAGUUUUGAAAAUUAGAAUACGGAAUGACAUCAACUAAAUUCACUAAUAUAAGCUAGAGGAAUCCCUAGUAGAUAUAGCGCACAUGCACACAUGAUAUGCAUCCGAAUACACAAUAAUAAAUUAUCUCAAAGUCAAUAAGAAGCCAAAAUUAGAGAUAAACUUUUAGCCACUAUAAGGAAGACUGAUAUUUGCAGUGUGAUUACAAUAAACAAACAGAAACUUCACUACCCAUAAGUAAAACAAAAUAAAUAAAGGAUAAUAACUAACCAAGAAAUGGAAAAGCUCACAUUCUCUGAACACGCACCCCAAAAAGAAAGAAAGAAAUAAAUGUUCUCAUUGGAUCUGAAGCACAAGCAAUCCACUGACAUCCUUCUAUAAUUAGGUAAUUUAAAGGGGUUAAGCUCACAUCUUUUACGGAAGUAAGAAGAGAAUUAACAACCUUCCAGAGGAUUUAGGGAAAUACCACGAGGCAAGAAAAAAGAAAUAUCCUUCUUCAAUCUAGAUAUCCUGAUACUGCUCACCAUCUACAACAGUCUGUGGCUUAAAAAGCAGGUCACUGAUCUCUCCCUCCCUCUGGCACCAUUUUCUCUCAUGUCUCAUUUUUCCCUUCCUGCCAACUCCCACUACAGUAUUGAAACCUAUUCUAUCAACUCUUCCCCCUCCAAUAACAAGACCAAAACCAAUUUUACUCGCCGGUUAGCUAGGUAGUAAAUGGAAAUUUGUGAAUCUGUCAUUCAUCCGUAGAAACAAACCAGAACUGCAUAAAUUCUCUUCUCUCCCAACAGCUUCUUUUCUCCAGAAAUAGGCACAAGUAUUUGACAUGGAAACAGUUUAUCUAACAUGGCCACCUUUAAAGACAAAGACAUACUAAGGACGUGGUUUUAGAUACGGAUACAAGAAACAAUCACAAAAUGUAAAAUCUAUACAUAUGAUAUUAAUUUCCAAUGGAUACAGCAAUUCAUUCUUUGACAUAACUUCAUCAGAUUACUAGGUUUGAUUAGGUUAUACACACAUUUAUUCAUUUAUUGAAUCUACAUGCACUUAGAAUGAGAGGUACCUAUAAAAACAAGUUACCAGAAAACAAUACAGCUAGAAAACAUUAAUCUAAGUAGUUCUAUAGGUUUAACUAACUGCAGGAAAAAACCAUUGAUUUUGUCCGCCAGAUUAUCGAGAUCCUAAUUCUGGUAAAAAGAAAAUGAGAUAAUAGAAAAUCAAAAAUUAAAUAGACACAAAAUGAGAAAUCAAGAUCAUAUGGCAACUAAUAUAUAGCAUGGGCUGCAGCUAACAAGCAAUAUAAGCCAUGAUAUUAUGCCAGAUACAAAUUUUGAGAUCCAAGAGAGAUCAAGAAGCAUGAAUACCACUAAAAUAUCGAAAGAAGUGAGUGCAGAAGGAUAAGAAAUCAGGUUGAUAUUCUUCAUACUUUGGAUCAACACGUAGUGAUGCAAUAAACUUGUAAUUAGCUUCAAAUGUAUAGGCUACCAUGUCAACAUUUCCGAAAACACACAAGAUUGUGCUGGAUUCAUACAUAGUACAUAUAUAAAAAAACAAUCUGCUUCUAAACUUCAUGAGAACAUCGAAUAAUGAACUUACAAUUUGAUCCCUCAUCAUCUUCAUCGCACCAUUUGUUCCAAUCAACCUUAAUGUAAGGUGCUGGUUUCUCUUCUGACUUGAGUAGCCUUUUCCACCAACCUUUCUCUUCUUUUUGGACCGAGCAUAUUAUGUUCCUUAAGCCAACUUUAGUCUUACAUUUCUGCACCACCAGCAACAAAACUCAAAGCAUUACAAAAGAGGUAUAUUUAGCCGCUCUUGACUCGAGUGAGAGAACAGGAUAAAUAGCCUAGGUAUAUCCACAUCCAUGUUAUGAGAUUGAUUAUGCAACAGCUAACUUUAAUAUAAAGCUUUUGCUUCAACAAAGACUAAAAUGUUUGUAAUUGUUAUGCUUUUGGAGCUAAAAUGUUUGGCAAACACCCACUUUUACUCUGCACCUAAUAUCUACCACCCACCCACACACUAAGUCUCUCGUUUGGUACAGCUAUUUAUCAGUAGUGGCUUUAAGCCACAACAUUUAAAGCGAAUUUACCCUAAAAUUUUACAAUGAAAAACCUAUACUACCUUUAACAUUGUUGUCAAAAUUAUUAUUAUAAGUAAUAUUUACCAAACACUAUCAACUUCCAAUUCAUAUCAAAGAGCUUUCACUCCACAAUAGCCGUGUCUUCUUAAGCCAGAACAACACAAUACCAAAGGCCUUAAGCUAGUGAUUUGAUUUCACAACAACUGCAGAUCAAGCCUCAAUCCCAAACAUACAUAAAUCAAAUGCAGAAAGCAAAAAUUUAACAAUAUGUUUGGUAUACUAAAUGUCUUUCAUAGUUUCAUUUCACAGGGUAUUUAGACAUGCAAUGAUAAAUUGGAGCAAUUUCAAGAACCGAAUUGACCUCAGGUAAAAUUUUGCCAAAAAGUUCCAAGCUGAAGUCGUAAAGCUCGCCUUGGACUCCGACGGCCGAGAAGCCAAAAAUCCCCUGAGGCUCGCAUUUCACAGAAAUGUCUUUCGCAUCGGGUAAUGAAAUGGUAAGGUAUACUUUAUCGGAGCGCUGAGCCCAAAGAACCUCCGGAUGGCGACUGAACAUAAAAGAAAUAAUAAUAAUAAUAAUAUUAUUAUUUUUUAUUGUGACAAUUUUGAACUAAUAAUUAGAGACAUUUAACAACAAUAUUGAUUAAUAUUGGAGAAGAAAAAUAAGGUUACAAGAGAGAAUCAGAAAGAUUACCUCAUUCUGGUGGAUGAUUGAAAACGGUGGGUCGAUUGAUGAACAGAAGUGUAACUGUCUGGGAGUGAGAGUGACUCUGCUGUUUACUGGGUAGAGUGUGCUUACUCGAAGAAAUUGAAAGUGAUAAUCUCGGGCAAGCCAACACGUCGAUUUGGUCAACAGUGGUCCAACAAACCAGGAACUAGGUUUUUUUUUUUAAAUGAUUUUUUUUUUCAGUAUUAUAUUGCCCCGCCCGUGGGCUAUUACAUUUUGGCCCUUUUGGGGACCCCUCGUUCUCUUACAAGAAGGGAAUAUUCUUUUCCAUCCACCGGUUUGUAGGCAGAGUACAUAUACUCUUCGAAAUUAAGGACAAAUUUCUGAAUCGUGCCGCAUUAGAAUUAAAUUGAGUCUCAAAAGAAUUUUGGUUAUAAGUAUAUCGUUCAAACGGUAAUAUAUUAAAAAAAAUAAUAUUUACUACAAUGUAGACCUAUCGGGACUUUGAAGCCCAGACCAAUUCUUGAGUCUAGCCUAAUAACACCUCAACAGAUCAAAAUUGAAAUCCAACUUAAAUUUCAAUAUUGUGUAGGGAUCUGCCUUAAUUUAGAUAUGUCAAGACCUGCCUUAGGCAUCAAAGUGAUCUAUCUUAACAUAACUAAGACUUUCUUUAAACAUCACAAUGAUUUAUCUUAACGUAGUCAAAUCUAGCCUAAAAAAAUCUAAAGAAGGAAAAAAGAAAUUAUUUUCACGUAUUGAGAGACUUAAAUUCUUAACCUUAUUCAUAAGAAAAAAAAGUGUAUUACUUAACUAAAUCGUGACUAAAAAUUAUAAUUAUUAUUUUUUGUACAUUUAGCUUUAAAAAAUCAUUAUAUAUAUAUAUUCAUAUAAGUUUUGACAUAAUAUACAUACCACUUAUUUGUUUUUUAAAUUAUACGAGAAUGAAAAAACUCAAGCAUUAAACACCAACUUUUGUUUCAUGCUAUCAAUCAACUUGAGAAAUUUUAUAAUAUAUCGGAAGUUCUACGUCACAAUUUAAUACGAAGCCUUCGAUUAAUAAUAAUUAGACACAUGACAAUAGAUGCUAGAGAAAUUUUAAAUUCCCUCUUUUCAUUAUCCCUCCAAAUUUAGAAUUUCAAAAAAUUAGAGAAUAAAUGUUGCUUGCUCUCUUUGUUAUCUAAUUCUAAUUAUUAUUUUUUUCUCUCUCUCUCCAAUCAAGUUGCUAGCAUUUUUUAAAUCUAUUGAAGAAUAAGAAGAAGGUUUUUGUCGAUGAAAUGAUUUUGGCAGCCUUUUUUACCCAAAGCUAACAUGAUUGCUGCGACUACCAAUGAAGAAAAAGAUGUGUUUUGCUGGCGAAGAAGAUGAUUUUUGAAGCAUGAGUGGCUGCCGUUUAUUUUUUUCCUUCAUAUUUUUCGAUGUAGUGGCUGUCCUCAAGUUUUAUUCAUUUACUUUUCAGUUGGCCUACUAUUUAUUGGCAUAAUGAAAAAUUUUAUUUUAAUAAGCAUUUAUAGAUUAAUUUGAGGAGGUUUCUUUUGCAAUAUUAGUGUGGUUUCUGCAUUGGUAUGAUUUAAAUUACGAACUUGCUACAAUCUUUAAUUAAACUGUCAAAAGUAAUUUAAAAAAUCUUUAAUUAAACCGUCAAAAGUAAUUUAAAAACUGACAGUAGAUAGAUUAGAGAUAGGCUUGACAAUUUAGCCCGACUCUAUUUUUAGUCUGAUUGAUCCGAUCCUAAUUUUUAAGACUUUGGCCUGAAUUUUUUGAUUUCGGGUCGGGUUCGGGUCAAAAUUUUAAGGCCCGAACAAAUUUAGGGUCAGGGUCGGACUUAAAACCAACCCGACCCGACCCUAUUUAAAAAAAAAAAAACUAACACACGCACACAACACAUGACAGUUCACUCUCUCUAAAUCGUAAAUCACACACACAAAAUACACUUACACAAAUUCACAAAAACCCUAAGCCAGCCACCCAGCCUGCUGCCGUCCUAUCAGCCAACAUCGUGACCGUCCGCCGCACGCCAGCCAAUCAGCCGUCGUCUCGUCGUCGCAUGUCUCACCAAUCAGCCAUCGUGACCGUCUGCGACGCUGCGACAUGAACUUGAACCAGCCGCCCUUUGUCGCCGUCCUGCCGCAUCCGCCUGCCAGCCAACGAUCAAUGCACACAGUUGAAUUGUGGGGUGGGAAAUGGUUUCGAUAGGGUCGGGCUCGACCCGACCCUAACUAUAAAGAGGUAGGGCUUUUUUAGGGUCGGGUUUUAAUUUUUUGUUGAUCGGGUCGGGUCGGGUUUGGCCAAACCCGAGCCCGACCCGACGUUUUGCCAUCCCUAAUUAGAGAUGAAGAUUGGAGAGAGAGAAAAAUAUAAUUUGAAUGAGAUAAUAAAGAGAGAAGAAAUUCUAUAAUACAUCAUAAGUAAUAUAACUCAUUGAUGUAUGCAUGAUAUAUGUAAUUAACCUUAAUAUAACUAACACUUGUAUGGUGAUAUUUCAAAAUAAAUAUACAUAUGUUAUAAAAUCAUUUACUUAUUGUAUGACUGACAUUUUAUUUUUGAUGUAUUGUACAAUUUCUCAGAAGAGAGUAGUAUUUAUUAUCUCUAAUUUUUUGAAAUUCUAAAUUUUGGAAGGAUAAUAGAAAGAGAAAUUUUAAAAAUUUUUCAACGUAUAAUGCCAUGUAUCUAAUUAUUAUUAGUCGGUGUUCCACGUUAAAACGUAAUAUAGAACCUCUGGACCUUACUGUAUAAUGUACUGUAGAAUUUCCUGAUCACACACUUUCUCAGUUGCAAAAGAGGUGGGCAUAUGAGUUCCUUACGGGGAUUUAGUGUGAAUCCACGCAAAGCCCAUAUAGAUUUUUCCGGUUAACCGCUAUGGCAUCCUAGUUUUAAACUCAGUACUAAAUUUACAGAUCCAUUUAAACCCCCCAAAUCAGUCUCUCACCGUCUCAAGUCUCAAACAAAAAACCUGACCGGAACCCAAACCGCCAAAUCCGAUUCGAUGGUGGACUGUGCUAAAACCCCUAAAAUUCCAAGACUGACAUGCGGUAAAGGAGAUGGUGAUAGACUUAGCAAUCUUCCGGAGCACAUCAUUUAUCACAUAUUCUCGUUCAUGGAAACAGUUGAUGUUGUUAGAGCAAGCACUGUUUCGCGAAGAUGGAGGUACUUGUGGCUUUCCGUUCCUUAUUUGAACUUCGACUAUCACACAAUUUGGUCAGACCCGGAAAGUAGAUGGUCUCGUAGGAAAAUCAAUGAUAAGUUCAAAGAUUUUGUCAACUGGGUAAUAUUUUCUCAAAAUGGGUCUGUUAAUAUUCAAAGAUUUCGUCUUUGCUGCUGGGAUUAUUUAGCAAGUUACGAUAACGAUAGAACGAUUUACAGAUGGGUUUCUGCUAUGGCACGUCGAAACGUGCAAGUGCUUGAUCUGGCUAUAGCUUCACUAUACCCAUUUGAGUUUGACUUGCCACAUAGUCUUGUAACUUGUGAUUCAUUGGUGGAACUGAAGUUGAGUUUGAGCUUUCAUGUUCACCGAUGUUUUUUAAAGCUGCCUACUGCUGCUGGUUUUAUUGGGCUCAAGUCUCUUGAUUUACAAAGUGUUGCGUUGGAUGAUAAUUUGUUUCCUGAAUUUAUUUCAAAUCUUCCCCUGCUUGAGAAUUUGUGUAUGUUGUCAUGUGUUUUUCCUGAAUUGAAGGUUCUUGACAUUUCUUCCACUAAUUUGAAGAAUUUGGCUCUGGAAUCCAUUGUUGGCAAUGAUAAUGCUGGCAAUGAUGAUGCUGGCAAUGAUGAUGCUGGCAACUACAAGCUUAAGAUUGCUUGUCCAAAUCUUGUGUCUUUUAAUUAUAUAGCUUUAGCUCCAUGGUUACCUCACUUUGCUUUUGAGAGCUUAAACUCCUUGCAAAAUGCAUUCAUUGACCUGGAUGAUUAUAACGAGGAUGACAUGGAGAACGAAAGAUGUCAUGUUUUAUCUACAAUCUUCAAUGACUUUCGUGAAGUUAAAGUUUUGAAAUUAUCAGAAGCCAUUCUUCUCGAGGUAUGAUUUCAAAUACAUUCAUUGCACCAAAUCAUGAUUCUGCCAGAACUUGUCUACACUUUUUUAUUUUGACAUUAGAAAUGAAGCUUAAGUAAACUGAAUCUACUUUCUUUGUUUGGUAAAAUAAGAAUUCUAUUGAUUAUGGAACCUUCCUAAAUGCUAAUUUGUUCUUUAGACUGUGUAUAAGUCAUUGUGACAUUGUAUGAAGUCUCAUUUAUCUGAGUAAUCAAUUGUUAUUGAUGUCAAAGACUAGAACUCAUUGGUGACUUGAGUUUAUGUAUAUUAUCGUUUGUUAGAUUUUUUGUGUGAUUAUUGCACUUAACUUGACUAAUGUAUUCUCUUUCUUUUUGCCAUUGUUCCUCCAGGUUCUUGAUCCUGAUCCUGCUCACGAAGAACCAGCAUUUUUUUCCACUUCAUUCAAUAAUUUGAAGUCCUUAAUACUUUCUGCAGGUCCGGGUGUAUGUCUCAUGCCAUCAAUGCUUAGGUUGCUCAACUGCUCUCCAAAUCUAGAAGCUCUUGCAAUAUAUUCUCCUAAGGUAAUCUUAACACCAAAAACUAUUCCAUUUGUUAGAUACCGUCGCUUCUAUCCAUUUUUUUUAAAAAUCAUAUCUCCCAUUUAUGUGCUAAAAUUUUAAUUUUGUUAAAGUGCAACUGGGCUUUGCUUAAAUUAUCGCAAUAGAGUUGAAACCUGAAAGUAUUUGUGAUAUAUUAUGUUUACCGCUUAGAGCUUAAAGUAAAUGUUAAUCUUGUGGCCUCUUGGUUGUUCCCAUGCUAUUGCUUGUUGAGCAGAUGGUUGAAUUUAGAGUCAAUCAAUCGGUUGUGUUCUUCUGAGGUUUGUGCAAGUUUUGUAAAAGAGCAAAGUUUAGUAUUUGUUUAGUUUGUGAAAAUGAUAUAGCUUUUUCUAAUUCAUCUUACUCUAUUCUUUGCUUAAAAAUGAAUUCUCCUUUUGAUUUGAUUCCUUGACUGCAUUUCGGUCUGUUUUCUCUUGGCAGCAUCGGCGUGGAUAUAAUGCUUAUAGGAAAACACCGAACAAGGCUGCUAUUUCAUGUUUGACAAAUCAUCUCAAGACAGUUGAAAUAAAACAUUUUAGCGGUGAUAUGAAUCAACUUGAAAUUGUGAGGUUUCUUCUAAGGAAUGGACAUGUAUUGCAGAGAAUGAGUAUUAGAUGGGUGGCAGAUGUUAAGAAUCAAGGGAAGAUUAUCUCAAGGAUAAUGAAGUUUCGGAGAUCAUCUUCAAGUGUUGUGCUGAAAUUCCUAGAUCCUAAGCCAGCUGAUGAUUUUUCAGAUUAUUUAUUUGAUGAUGAGCAAAAGAACUAAAAUUAUGUUUAAAUUAAAAAAAAAAAAAGUGGUUUAAGUGUAUGUUCGAAUUAAAUAGUCUUUUGGAUUUGUAGAAACUGAAAGGAGUACAGUGCCAGUCACUGUGGCAGCCUUAUGUUUUGUUUGAAAAAAUUCGGAAGCUUCUAAAUUGUUAUAUACCUCAAUUCUGAAGUCGUUAGUAUGUAUAUUAUAAGCAAUACAUAUGUUCCAUUUGUCAUAUUUUAUUUUGGCAUUACGAUUGUUUUGUCUUGAUUAAUAUUGAUUAUAAUUUGUUUAACAUUUAUCUGGCAUAUGUAGAAUUAUACUUUAUCUGAGUAGAUGACGCUGCUGCGUACAUCUUCAGGACUCGGUCAUAAACUGUUUAUCUCUGCGUCUGUCUAGCAUCCAUCCACGUAUGACCUGUCGGCUUUUUGCCCGCAAGCAUACAGUUAGGGGUGGUAAAAAUAUCUGUCCGGUCUGGAUUCGGUUCGCACCCGGAUGUUUUAUCCGGCCCGGUCUUGGGCAUCAUUUGAUAAAUUCGGAACCCGAGUUUUAUUAAGCGCCUUGGCCGUACAGCAGUAUAUUAUUUUAAAUAUUUAUAUUUAUUUGACUCAUUUAUUACAUAUAUAUAAAGUUUUAGACACUUAAAGUUUAUAUUUUCAUGUCAAAUUUCAUUAAAAUAAAUUUAAAACUUAUAAAAUUACCAAAAAAUAAAAAAUAUAUACAUAUAUAAUAUUAAAAAAUAUAAAAUCUGGGUACCCAAAUUAAAACCCGGCACAAUCCGACCCAGGCAUCUAUGCAUCCGGGUCGGGUCCGGUCAUUACGAUACCCCGACCCAGCCCAGGGUUUUGCCAUCCCUACAUGCAGUGUAUAUGAAUUGCAGUUCUUGUACGGACAACAUGUCAUCCAUAAAACUCGAGUUAUGUUCUUUUUAAUCUUUAGUUUAGAUUACAUUUUGCAAAACUAAUAAACGAUAGAGCUCCUAGCAAGGUCAAUAGUUAACUGCGAAUCCAGAAGAUCGGAAUGCUAUACCUUUCAAACAUGCAUUUCAAAGCCAUCUGCGGAAAUGGAAAACAAGCAUUUCAAACUCGUUGUUAAAACAAUGAUAAAAGUAAUUUUAAUCCUAAUUUUUAAUUCCAGGCAUGAAGCUAACUCAUAUACAAAGAGAUAUCAAGUAAGCAGAGGCGAAAGCUAAAAGCUUUGGUUACAGGGGUCGGUGUGAAUAAUGUAUAUAUCGUUUAGACAUAUUUUUGAAUAUCUAUUUUAAUUUAGGGGAUAUUAUAUAUAUUUAAAAAAAAUUAAAAUUUUUACGGGAGCCAUGGCUUACUAUAGUCUCCAUUAAGAUUCACCCUCCCUACUUUUCGUACUUCAUUAAAGUAUAGGAUAAAUAUUUACAAUAUUAUAAAUAGAUUUUAUAAAAGCAGUCCAUAUAUGAAAGUCCUUCUGCACUCUGAAUUAAAUAAAAAUAACGUGAGACUAACAAUUUAAGAGUCUUUUUUGCAACGUAUAUCGUGCAGUGAUGUACUCUAUCGACGGAGGACUCUCUUCAUAUGCUUUUUAUUUUUCCAUGCCUGAUUAUAAAUAGGAUCACUCUAUGUUACAUUAAACGUAACGUACACACACUCACAACAACAGUAACAAGUCCCAUCAUUAGAACUGUUGCUGUGAGUGCGUGUAUGUUACGUUUAACGUAACAUAUCACUAGCCUUAUAAAUAACAUCACUUUUAAGGAUUUUUACAAAUUUUUAUUACAACCGUAACUUUUGUCCUCAUACAAUAACGGUGUCCAUUGUCCACAUAUAAAAAGUUCAUCAAUAAACAUAUAACCUAAUUAAAAUUCGUGACAAAAUCCAAAGGAAAGAAAGCGUGGAGUAAUAUAUAUAACAAAGGCAUUGAGCAUACACCAGGUGUAAUUUGCAUUGCAUGGCCACCCUUACGUGGCAGUUCCGCCGAUUAACACAUCUUUAAAAGUUAAAGCCCCCCUCUCUCCUUGUUAAGGGCGUUUCAACACAACACUCAUCAAUGCAAGCAAAGAGACAGUGAAGGAAAAAUUAAGAAACCAAUAUUGUCACUUGGAAGAAAGAAACAAUCAUUACAUAUAUAAUACGAUGGAUACUAAGAACAACAGGAAGCAUUUGUCCUGCAUUGCCAACGACGUCGUUCACAGAUGUGCACUGUACGUAUCUCUCUCUCUCUCUCUCUCUCCUUUUCUUUUUCUCCCCGAUCACUUUGUUUUCUUUAUAUAUACGAAUGUAUGUAGAACGUAGUAGGUUUUGUAUAAAUAUCUGUUGCACACAUUAUUUGAUGUGCAUUUAAAUAUAAUUAAUGGUAAUUGAGAUGACACACAAAGACAAUGCAAAAAAAGAAAAAAAAAGAGAGAGUAAAUUAAUGAAUUUGCCUUGAUCCAGUUAAUUUGUGUGCAUUUAGCUGACUGUAAGGUGGUUUCGAGUGUGUUUUUGUUUGGCAACUUUUCACACAAAAGCACUUUUGGGAAGCACUUUAUGUAAUGUAAGUGCCUCUAAAAACUGUUUUAUGUAUUACUGCCAAAUGCAGUGCAGAGGUUACAAUGGGAGGGUCGGUUUUAUACCUGUUCUUCGAGACUUAAUUUCAAUAGGAGAUUGAAAUAUUUAUGAGAAUUAUGUUGUUAGCAGACUUAAUUCUUUUGGAGGAAUUCAUUCCAUCGUAGACCACUCAAUGAAUUUGGUCGAUUGAGAUUAUUUGAGUGCAUGCUUCAAAACUGGAGCAUUAAUUCUUUGACAUAAAUGGGCUUUAACAUAAGGCGCGUUCGCUUAUUCCAUUUAUUCAAGAAGUUGGCACUCAAUUUUUUAUUACUAGCCUUUAGAUGGCCAGCAGCCUUUUGUAGCCCUUUCUAGUUUCUACUAAAGUGGUUAUGUGCAAUAGUUCUAUUCUGGGUUGCAAAAUUAUUGUGUCAGUAGAAUCCACAUACAUUAUGUACUUUUCUGUAUUUAAUUUCAAGAGGCUUAGUUAUAUCAUAGUUUUAGGAUUAUAAUAAGUCUGUCCGUUACCAUGUUAUUGGAAUUUUUUUUUUUUUCUAAAUUAGUUGGACACAUUAUUGGAUUGGUCAAUAAAGGAAAGCAUUUGGCAAGUACUUGGUUUGAUAUUAACAUAUAGUUGCAGUAAAGCACAUUAACUUGUGCAUCCUGAAAUUCUUGCAGGCAAGUAAAGGCUUCUGAGGAUUCAUUGGUGGAGGGGUUUGAAGCUGAAUGGAAGCCUGAAAUCGGACAGUAUUCGAAGAAAUUUGUGGAAUAUUGCAGCAUAAAGGCUCUUACUAACAUGUGCCAGAGCAUAGAAGAAAAGAUUAGUGAUGGAUCAUUUAGUCGACUCACAUUUGAUAUGAUGCUUGCCUGGGAAAUGCCUAGUGCCGCCGAUGAGGAGUCUCAUACUGUAAGCAAUCAUCAUAAUACUCAUAUCCUAUAUUUAUUUCAUGGUCCACCAAAUCAUUAUGAUAUUAUCCCAAUUUUGGUGUGCCUAUCUUCUCUUCAAGUUGCUUCUUCUAUUUCUUUUUCAUUAUACAUUCUCUGGUUCUCAUCAGUUUUCGCUCCAAUUAAAAGAAGCAUGAAUUCUUUCACUUAUCUGCUGAAUCUGUUCUAAUGAUUGGGCAAUAGAUUUUUAUUCCUCUCUGUGGUUACUACUAUUUUGAUCUUGUGCAGGAGUGCAUGGGAAAGGAGAAUGAGGAUAGAAAGGCUGUAAAAGUCACUUCAGAUCAUGAUGAAAUUCCUCUCUUCUAUACAGACAUCAUGCCUCUUCUAGUAAGAGCGUCUCUUUCUGAUCAUUUGAGUGCUAAUGUACCGACCAAGCAUUAGCCUUCACUGAAACUCGUAUAUGAUUUCAUGAACAUUGAUUAAUUGUUAUUUUUGCUAACUACUCUAUGAGAUCUGAUCAAAUUAGAUAUAUAAAUGUUGCGAUUGAUCUUGGAUUUGCUUUAUAUUUGGCCAUCAAUUAUAUUUUACUCUUCAUUUUUAUAUUUGUUUGGUUUGAUAAUUUACCCUCUGGCCCAUAUAUAUGAUGGUAGGUUAAUAAUGAACCGAGUGUUGGAGAAGAUGCAUUUGUAUGGAUGGGAUCCUUAGUUCCUCUAGUUUCAGAUGUUAUUAAUGGGAGAUUUACAUAUGAAAUUCUGACAGCGCCAACAGGAAACCGGCUCCAUUCUCCAGCAUAUGAUAUAUUUCUAAAGGAGAUGGACAAGUAAUUCUUCCAAUUCUUCCAUGCAGCAAUUUUACCACUCAGAAACUUUAAGUGCCGUUUGGUUUUGUGACAUGCAAAUUAUCAUGGAACACUCAAAAUGAGUUGUUCUUAACAAUUUCUAGAAUUUGCAAACUCACUAACCAUAUCUGAAAAUGCAGAAGCAUUAUUACCACUUAUUGAUAACAAUAUCUCUGCUCGACUUGUUUGGGUGCUUUCAGCCGUUUUUCAUUUUCUUUUGGAAAUCUUGAUUUCAUAGAUGCAUAAAACAUUUGCAAAAACAAGCAACUCCAAAGGGUGUUGAGCUGGCUGACGAUGAAUUUAUACUGCAUGUGGAGGGAACUGCAAGCACACAGAGAGUAGUGCGCCAUAUUGGGAAAACAAGUUGGCCUGGUAUGUCUUUAGUUUGAUGUCUUACAUCUUUUUAACUGCUGUAGAAAUUGUUACUUGGAUUUUACUAAUCAUAAUUGUUGUCUCUAGGUAGGCUCACACUGACAAAUUAUGCGCUCUACUUCGAGGCUUCGGGAGUAAUAACAUAUGAAGAUGCUCUAAAGAUUGACCUCUCAAAAGAUGCUGAACUAUCUGUUAAACCAACUGCCACAGGUCCAUGGGGUGCUCCGCUUUUUGACAAGGCAAUUGUAGUCGAGUCCCCUGAACAGUAAGCAUAGUUGCACUUAUAUGAAAUUACUGGAGCUAUUAGCAUCGUUAUUCUUAUUUUAAAAAUUGUUAAAUGCUUGGUAGUUAUCCCAUAAGCUAGAUUUUAAAUGCAUAACAUACAAGGCAGACAUCAGAAAGCAUUCUGAUUCGUUUAUUAAAGUUUGUCUUUUAUUAAGCUAAAGAUAUUAAUGCUGCUAGAUUUUUCUAAUUUGGUUGUAGAUAUUGGUUAGUUACACUGUCAAAUGAGCAAAUCUCGUGGAUAUUUCAUAGUGUGGUUAUGCAAUUGUUUUUUGCCCUUCACUUUUCUAGAUCUGAGGGAAUUGUCCUGGAGUUUCCAGAGAUAACUAGCUCGACAAGGCGUGAUCAUUGGCUGGCCCUCACAAAGGAGAUAAUGUUAAUGCACAAAUUCCUGUCAAAAUUCAAGGUGGAAUGUCCAAUACAAGCAUGGGAGAUGAAUGCAAGGACAAUACUUUGCAUCAUAAGACUCCAUGCAGCAAGAGAAAUGCUGAGGAUAUUGCCUCCAGAUCCCACAAAAUUCUUGAUUUUUGCUUUGUAUGAUGAGUUGCCAAAGGGAGACUACGUGCUAGAAGAGCUUGCUGAGAGUCUGAAGAAAGUUAAUUGUGGACAUCCUUCCAGUGCUAGCUCAAUUCUGAGAUGUAUGAACCUGUCAAUUGCCGCAAGUGGAGAAGUAAAAGAAGGAAAAGAACUGGAGGAACAUAAACAUAUAAGUGAUGAAAGCUGUUCAUCACUGGAAACUGCCAUCAAUCAAUCUAAAGAGCAAGCAAAGGCAAUUGAAAUUGCUAAGUCUACCACUGAGGGCCUGAAAGAUGAAGGGAUCAGUGAUAGUAUCCUUGUUCUCUUGGUAUGUUUUUACUUCCAAAUUGUUGUUUAUGCUGCUGAUUUUAUAUUGACAGAAUAAGUAAUGACAUCUCAACAAAUCAUGGUAUUGAGAGCUUGUUUGACAUUUAUCAAACACAGCAAAGAAAUUGAAUUUUAUGAAAUUCCUAUAGCACCCUAUAAUUUGUACCAAAAAAUCUCUGCACCUUUGGCAUGCUGUAUGGUAUGGAAGUAUAGCUGUCUCAGAGAGGUUACUGUUAUUUACUUUAUUUGGUUUUGUAGUAUUGAUGUUAAGUUUGAUUUAAUAAUGUAGGAGCUACUAAAGCCACUUAAAAGUGUUUUACCCUGGAUUCGAGAAGUUGUUUCAUGGGAAAAACCAGCAACCACCCUCACUGUGAUUGCAACAACUCUACUAAUAGUGUACAAGUAAGUCAGUGCUCCCUCGUAAUUUUCUUAUAUACGGAAAUUUUUUUGAAAGUGCAUGUUGAUCAAGAACCACUUCAUUACUUGGCCUAUUAAUGUGUAAACUUUGCAAAUGACUAGUAAACUAUAUAAUGGCAAUGUAGGGAGUGGGUAGGCCAGGCUAUAGCUGCUUGUUUGCUCACCAUCGUGGUGAAGAUGCUUCAGGCAAGAAAAAAAAGGUUGACAGACAAAUGCAAUGAGAUAGUAGUAUGCACUGCUUCAGAUCAGAGCACCGUGGAGAGCAUUGUGUCGGCUCAAUACAGUUUGAUAACUAUUCAUGAGAUGUUGCAGGCAGCAAACAUUAUGAUUUUGAAGAUAUGGUCGAUAUUAAUUUCAAAGGCCCGCAAGGUACUCAUUUUGAUAACCUAUGCUUUCAGCUUAGCAAUUAAAUAUCGUUUUCAAUCAAUAUUGCUUAUUCGUCGUUAGCUGAAGUUCGUUUACCUACUACAUUUGUUGGAUGUCUUCAAUUAUUGAGGAGUCUUAGUUGCAUUUCCAAAUUGUUCUAAAUCCUCGUUUCAUUUAAUGGGUUGCAGCAUGCGGACACGGUUAUGGUGGCAUUGACUGGGUUAGCAAUAGUAUUAGCAGUUGUUCCAUUCAAGUAUAUUGUCAUGGGAGGUGUGCUGUACGGCUUCAUUAUGAACUCGAAGCCAAUGAAGUACCUGGGAAACAACUCAAACGACCAAAGCGGCAACAGACGUCUAAAAGAAUGGUGGGAGUCAAUCCCUAUUAUUCCUGUUCGCGUCGUGGACAAGCUUCCUGAGUGCCCAAAAUAAUGUGUCGGCUCCUGCACAAUCACAGUUGCCUAAAUCCUCUGUUUCUGAACUUUUGUUAUCAACUUACUGCACGAUAUACACUUCUGAGUUUGCUUUUGCCAUCAGAGUAGAACUGUAUCUGAAACACAGCAUACACUUAAAUGCUCAUUACAAAUUUGGAGAAAAGCACAAGUAGAAAAGGAUUGAAGACAUUCAGUAACGUUGAAAUUCUGCAUUUUCUUUAAUUUUUGUUAUGAACAAGUUUCUUAAUUAUUUGUUCUCUUGAUGUAAAAUAGCAUAUUGCUGGGAGUAAUGAAGAUGUGACUGUGCUUUUCCUAUUAGCAUGUUAAUAAAAGCAAAAUGGAAAAUUAUUAGUUACGUCCUCUCGUUUUGCGGCUUAUUGAGCUAACAAGUAACUUCUUCAUUACUAGCGUGCAAGUUUGCAACUAGUGAAUCUCAAAUAUAACUCUACCCAAUGGAUGGAUGUACGAUGGAUGUACCUACCCAAUCAUUUAUUUCUCAUUAAAUCUGUUAAAACAGAAAAAGUCCCGACGUCAUAUUCUUCGCGCCUUUUAAAAAACGACACGUGUCGUAUCCCACUACUCGCGUGCUGGAAACUUUAACCCACUCUGACUGCGUGACAGCAGAUCAUUCCCAAUUCAUUUCAGUUUCACUGUCACUUUCACUCCUCCUCAGGCGCCUUCCGACAAACAGGAAGAAUGCAAACUUGAAAACCCCCAAAAACCCUAACGUUCCCCCGGAGACCCUAACCCACCAUAAACCCUGGCUCUUAAUCCUAGCCACUAUGAGCGACCAAGACGAGCAAUCGCGAGCUCAGAAAGCCGCCCAGUUAACAAGUCCGCUCUCAUCCUCUCUCUCGAACCUUUCUUCUUCUUCAAGAAGCAUCCCCUCUAAUCAAGAUUUCCAUUUCUUCUACAAUUUCCCUGAAUUCAAUCAACCCGUCCAAGAAAUCGCGAACCAAUCGCAGCUCCUCCUACAAUCCAUCGGCUCAUCGGAGAUUUUUAACCAACCGAUCAAUUUUCCUGAUGAGGUUGACAUCUCGGACGCCUACGACUGGCUUGUCGACGUAAACGACAACGUUUUCGAGCGUAUGGAUGUUUCUUUCGACGAAUUUAGUAAAGUAAGAGGGGAAAAUGGGGAAGGAGAUGGAAAUGAAGGUGGCUUUCAGUUGGUUUAUGGGAAGAACAAGAAGAAGGGCGACAUUGUGGGUGGCUCUGCCCCGGCCAGUGUGAAAGUGAAGGACAGGAAAGAGAAAAGCAAGGUGCCGUUUCAUAUAUCGACUAUAACAAAACCGCAAGAGGAGUACAAGAUAGUUGUGAACAAUGCGAACCAGCCGUUUCAGCAUGUUUGGUUGCAGAAGAUUGAGGACAGUGGACGGUUUAUCCAUCCUCUUGUAAGUUUGUUAUUUUUUGAAUAUUUUGAUAUUGGAUUUGACUUACUGGGUUUGUUAAAUUUGUAAUCUGAAAAUAGUACCUUUCUUAGGGACUUUUUAGUGAUCAAUUAUUUCUUUCAUUUUCUUUUUGGGUGGUUUGUGGUAUAUGUUUACGCUUAUCUUGUUUGGAAUUUGUGUGCAAUUCUUAUUAUUCAUGCGAGAAUUUUAACACUAUCAUGUGGUUCAUGCUUGCCAAAAAUAUACCAAAACACUUUUGCUUAUUGCUAUUGCUUUAUUUGUACAGGACAAUCUUUCUGUUUUGGAUUUUGUUGAUAAAGAUAUAGGGGAUGUGGAACCUGUAAAACCUCCCUCGUUGGAGCAGACACCAUUCAAGCUUGUGGAAGAAGUUAAAGAUUUAAAGGAGCUAGCUGCUAAAUUGAAGAGCGUAGAUGAGUUUGCGGUAAAGUCUGACUUCUGUGAUUAUGUUUUAUUGAUAAAUAAUGCCGUGGUUCAGCCUUACUGCAGUAGUUUCUUUUUUUCAGCCUUUUGAUUUCUCUUUUCUGAUGGGGCAUUUCAUAUACAGAACUGAACACUGUCCUAUGUAGAGGAUAUAGUGUAGUUAAGGCACAUGUCACCGAUGUCAGCUACUUCAAAAUUAUAUAGUGCUGGAUGUGGUUUAAGCCAAUAAGACAAGAAAGGGGUGUGGCCGCCUAUGAAGAUACAUACAAAUAUGUUAAUAUUCGAAACAUAUACAAAGAAAUGUGCCUGUAAUAGUUUUCCUGUCUACGUAAAGUAGUAAACCAGCUGUCUAUUUAAUCUUGAUACAAGUUUUGCAUGUUUAAAAAAUUAUCUUUCAUCUUUAACAGUGAGUCCAUUUUUAGCUGUAAUCCUUUUCUCAAGCAUGACUUGGUUUUGCUUUCGUUUUCAUCUCAACAGUAAACCUGUUUGCAACUAGAAAACAUUGUAAUUUUUUUGUAACUUUUCUCUAGGUCGACUUGGAACAUAAUCAAUAUCGAUCUUUCCUAGGAUUGACUUGCCUGAUGCAAAUUUCCACCAGAACCGAAGAUUUUGUGGUAGAUACGUUAAAGCUUCGCGUUCAAGUUGGGCCAUAUCUUAGGGAAGUUUUUAAAGAUCCUACCAAGAAAAAGGUUGGUCCCUUCAACAUGCUCUCGCGUAGCUUUGUGAUAAAUCUUAUUUUUUCCCCCCCAAAUUAUGUUAACUUUUACUUUACUAGGUGAUGCAUGGAGCAGAUCGAGAUAUUGUGUGGCUUCAACGGGACUUUGGCAUAUAUUUGUGCAAUAUGUUUGACACAGGACAGGUUUUAUCCCUUGAAACUCUCUUUGAAAUUUGAGACUUUAUUGAUGAUCUUGUCUGGUUUUUUGUACAAUGGUUAAAUUUAUCUUAUCUUAUCUGCUUUUUUGUGGUCUAAUUUAUGAGUGUUGAUGCAAGCCUUUAUUCUACUAAAUUAGUUAAAUUGAGUUAUCUUUUGAUACUGUAUUUUCAAUUUUGUAAUUCAUCUUAUGUGUUUGAGUCAAGGUUUGGCUUCAAAAAGCCUUGUCAGUUACAUGUCAUCUCUCCCUUAAUUUUUUCAAAGUAGCUUCGCUUGUCAUUUGAACUAUUUGUAUCAUUAUUUUCAAUUUUGAUGUGGAACUUCCCCCAUUUAUUAAUGUUCUUUUGGUUGUUUUUGUGUAAUGCUCUUUUGUAAAUUUUACCGUGGCAUUUAUUUUGUUUUGCAUUUCAAAUAAUAGUGAGAAUUGCUUUUUUCAGUCCUAAGUUUAUUGGUUUAUUGUAAAUAUACUGUAUAUUUAUUUUGGUUUGCAUUGGGAGAUGAUCGUGGGAAUUUGUUUCUGUCUUUUCAUAAGGCCUCAAGAGUCUUGAAAUUGGAGAGAAAUAGUUUGGAGUAUCUUCUACAUCACUUUUGUGGAGUUAAUGCCAACAAAGAGUGAGUCCUUUUGUAAAGUACCUGAUCUGUUUCUCCUUAUAGUUUCCGCCCUUCAUCAUCCUAAGUCAACUCAUUGCAGAUACCAGAACGCAGAUUGGAGAGUACGUCCUCUUCCCGACGAGAUGCUGAGGUACCUUUGGUUCUCUUUUUAUCUUCUUUGUAACCUACUUUUCUAAUGAGUUCUCCAAAAAAAAAAAAAUUAUGAUCUGUUUGGCAUGAAAAUAAUUACUACUAUUUUAAAGUUCUUGUAUUCUUUGGAAAAGCAGAAAUCAUAUAUCAUCAUUUAAGUGUUUGGGGUUUCAUCUUUGCCUGUAUUUUUGUAGAAACUAAUAAUAUUUUUUUUUCUGUGGCUUAGGAUUUGAAUUGUGGGAAUAUCUAUGUUGGAAAUUAAUAAUGAGUGCACAUUGACUCUUGAUAGUGGACAAAUAUUUGGACAGCCAGGAAGGGGAAGGCCAACAAAAGUUUUGGGUUUUUAUAAGUUGAAGUUAUGAAUGGUUUUAUAAUUAAUUAGGUAUAGGUUUCCUCAUUUGGGUAUUUCUGGGAGAUCUGGGUUAUAAGAUUGAGAUAUUCCAGCCUGUAUAGAUAAUUGUAGGGUUGCCUGUGUUUGUGAUAUUCCAGCGCGUUUAUUAUUACUACUUCUUAUAUAUAUAAAAUUUUAGACUCUUUCCAUGUCUAACAAGAAGUUUUCAUGAUAUCACUUGGAUCCUACUCAUGCAGACUUGUAAGGCAUCCUUAGGUGCGGUUAUGUGAUCUGGUUUUUAUAAAUAUUUUUAAAUUUUUUGUCAGAGACAAUGCCUGUAGUGACAAUGUACUGACUUAUCUUUUGGUUAUUACCAAGCUGAAUCAGGUUGCCUGUGGUUUAUGACCAUACCAUUUGGUCUUAUAAAAUGUUCUUCCCUUCACCUCAUGUUCUCAUACUUUAAAGCAUGAAUAAUAUCUAAGGGCCUGAGAUUAUUUCAUUAAUUUUUCCCAAGUCUAGAUCCUUCCCAGAGAAAUGGAUGGAUUACCCACACACUCACCAGUAACAUGUCGUACUUUAUGACGGUUUUGCAUUACUGCUGUAUGUCAUUUAAUUUGCCCUUUUGAGGAUUCUUUAUUUUCUCUGGGCUGAUGUUACUUUGUGGUGCUUUUUUUUCCUAUUUAGUCAAAAUAUAUAUUCAUCAUAGAGUUUCUCUGUUAGAAUUUUCUUAGCUUUGAGGAUUCGUUAGUGGCAUAUCAUCCAAUUGAUUAUACUUGUGAUGACAGAUACGCUAGAGAAGAUACACACUAUCUGUUGUAUAUAUAUGAUAUAAUGAAAAUCAAGUUGUCCUCAAUGCCCAAGGAGUCUGAGAAUUCUGAUACUCCCCUGACAGAGGUAUGAUUUUUGCUUAACUGUUGGUGUUGUUUUGUAAAACUGUUGGGCAUCUCUAUGAUUAUAGAGAAUCCAUUUUUAAAUGCUUUUUUCAGAUCUUGUUGUGCCAUGUAUGACAGACCAUUGCGUCUGGAGAUUGGCAUGGAGCUUAAUAAUUACAAUGUUAAAAAUAGAACAUAAAAUAUUGGGAAGUAUCUAUCAUGACUAAUUCUUCAACUGUUUAAGGAAGAUAGUUUAAAUCCGAAUAUCCUUUUUUGGAUUGUGGACUAAAGAAAAUUGUCAACUCUUGAUUUCUCUUCCCAAGGAUGAAGACGUAUCAGUCUGUUGGCAAACACAUUUUUUGAAUUUUACUUUAGUUAUCUAUAAUUUUACCAUAUUGAGCAAACAUUUUGUUGCAAACAGGUCUACAAGCGCAGUUAUGACGUAUGCAGGCAGCUGUAUGAGAAGGAGCUUCUGUCAGAAAAUUCUUAUCUCCACAUUUAUGGGUUUGUCUUUGUCCCUAUUCAUCUCAGUUUAAGUUUUCAUUUAGUGGCCUCGCCUGUUUAAAAUCUUCUCUCAUACAGUUUUUGUUUGUUUCAUUCUUUACUUAGCAUUACUUCUCUUGUUUAAUUUUAGUUCUAUUUUGGACUUCGUAUUUAUGUGAUUUGACAGAACUUAAUCAGUGGAGCUUAUUUCUCUAUGUUGAAAUAGGUUGCAGGGGGCUGGUCUCAAUGCUCAGCAGCUUGCUGUUGUUGCGGUAUGUCAGUUCUUCAUGUGUUUUUCAAACUUUGCCACUUUUCUAUCUGGAUAUUAUAUGCAUGAGGAUGCUACUGAAAAUGUAUUAUCCGCAUGUUUUGUUUACUAGUUGCAUCUUCAAAUGAAACAAAGUCUUGACCCAGAAGAAUCCGUAACGCACCAAUAGUCACUAAUAGGAUUGUCUUGAGAAAUUUACUUCUAAAUUUUUGAGUGGAUGAUAGAAGGGUGGAUUUUAAGUAGCUGACACAUCAUUGCCAACUGCUGAUAGAGUCUGUUGCAUACUUGAGUAUUCUUGCUAGUUCUGGCCCCAUUGAUCCCACUUCAAUGAUUUGCAGGGUCUUUGUGAAUGGCGAGAUGUUAUUGCUCGUGCAGAUGAUGAAAGUACUGGCUAUGUAUUGCCAAACAGAACUCUGAUUGAAAUUGGUAGAAACCUGUCUGAAUUUCCUCCAACUCUCUCUUCUAUAUGUAUAUAAUCCAUUUGGUGAGUUAUGAGUUAAUCAUAUUUUCCUUUUGUGGUAAAAGCCAAACAGUUGCCUACUACUGCUGCCAAGUUACGUCGAUUGUUGAAAUCAAAGCACUCAUAUAUUGAACGCUAUAUGGGUCCGGUACUUAGCAUCAUAAAAAAUUCUAUGCAAAAUGCUGCUAAUUUUGAAGUCAUUGCUCAAAAAUUGAAAGAGGAACGUAUGGAAGUGGUAAGACCUGCAUGCUCAUGUUUGAUUGUUUUGUUAUAUCAGUGAUCCAAAUUGAUUAUUUUUCUUUGAGAAUUUGAUGUUAAUGCCUUCAAUGGAUUGCCAACAUACAUUGAUUUUCUUUUUCUUUUCCUUGGAUUUCGUUAGAAUCAGACCAACCAUCUUUUAAACGAGGAUGAUGGUCCAAAACCUUAAGGUCUACUACGAUGAAUUGCUACUUUUUGUGCAAGUUCUUGUAAUUCACUCAGCUGGUUGUCUUCGGCAAAUGAAAGGAAAAAGGAAAUUCAUCCAAUCCAGUUCUAUUGAAGAAAAAGAAUCCUAGUUGAUCUUACAAAAUUAAGCUUUCAUAAUUUGUUAACCCAUGGAAUGUGAUUAAAACUCAUGGACAAAGGAUGUUCCAGUUGAGAAAGGGAUUUGAGUGAUUUUUAGCAAUUAUCAGUGAUGUCUUCAUUAGAAGUAAGUUUAUGGUUUAUAGCAGUAAAUGCUCAAUAAUUAGGUACUCCUUGUAUAUUGGCUGACCGGGUCCCAUGUUUGUAGUAGGUUUUGUGAGCUACAGAGGAUUAACUUCAGUCAGUUUUCCAUGUUAUGGCUGUUAAGAGCUAUGUCACCAUUUUUCUUUGUUUACAUCAAACUAAUCUUUUUUUUUCCCCCCAUUUUUCCUUAUUUGUGUAGGCAUCAGAAGAAACUGAAGUUUUAGUUCUUGAUACUUCCUCAAACUUGAAAAUUCCGAAUGUUGGAAGGGAGAGUGUUGAUGGUGUUGAUGCAUUAGUUGGUACCACGAUGCCUCACCCACCAGCUUACACCCAGCUGAAACAAGAGCCUCCAAAGGUUGGAAGCAGUGUCGCAGAACUUGACAGAAAUGGACUAGGGUCUUUUGCGCAUCCUGGAGAAGCAAUUGCUUCAGAAAAUAAAGAAGCUACUCAUAUUUCAACACUUUCCAGCUCUGGUCAAAGUAGAGACUUGAAUGCUUGCAAGUCACCUUCACCAAGGGUUGUGAAUUUGAUGCCUUAAUGUGGAUUUUUUUUUUUUUUGGUUAAGAGGUUUAGCAUUCAAUUUCUUUUUCUUUGGUUGUGAAUUUGAUGCCUUAAUGUGGAUUGGAUUUUUUUUUUUUUUGGUUAAGAGGUUUAGCAUUCAAUUUCUUUUUCUUUAUAGGUUACUGAAGCUGCUGUUCAGGCUCUAAAGAAGCCGAACCGUGGUUUUGGAGCACUGCUGGGUAACCCAAAGAGAAAGUUUGAUGGCGAGAAAAAGGUGAGUUAAUCAUUUGCUAGUAAUGGUUGUUAAACAUCUGCUAUGUCAUUGUCACAUAGCAAAAUAACUAUUUCUGAGGCCUGCCAGUCACCCAGUUUGUGCAUGUGUGGUUGGGAAGAAGGCAACAAAGGAAGAAUAUAGUUAAACAUUUGCUAUGUUAUUCUUACAUAGCAAAAUAACUACUACUGAGGCCUGCCAGUCAGCCAGUCUCUGCAUGUUGGUUGCAAAGAAGGCAACAAAAGAAGAAUGUUUUUUUUUUUUGAAUCUUCAUUCCAUGAUUCACUUUCUUUUCAAUUUUUCUUGUCAACUAGCAUGUACAUUUGCCUUCUUGUUGCCUUUUUCGUUGCGUGAGUCAUUAUGAAUUAUGAUUUAUAUUAUACGGAAAUUGUGAGUGGGCAACUGUUGGGCUAUAAUCAAACAUGCAAAAUUUCGGGUCCCAUGACUAAGCGCUGCUAUCAUCUGGAUUUGUGUGUUGUUGCAUUUUAUAUUUGGUUAACACCCUUCUUAUUAUCCUCCUUUUGAUUGUUUGUUUGUCUUAAUUAGGACAAGGAAGCUAUGAAACUAGAGCAGAUUAAAUCCUCAGUCAAUCUUCCAUUCCACUCAAUUUUUGCAAGAGAUGAACAGUUAAAACCAGUUGAUGUGAUGAAGUCUGAACCAAAUAAGCCUGACAUUCCAUUUCCUUCAUCUUUUGGUAGUGGGCAACAAACGAAACCAAUCAUAGAGGAAUCCAAUAGAGUUACAGUAGUUUCCCAAUCAGAAGAACCCGCUCCGGCUGCUAGGUCUGAUACAGAAGAUAUUAUUACGUUGGAAGAUGAUAUAGAUGAAGAGGAACAAAACCUUGGUAAUUUGGAAACUGCAAGUGCGCCCGGAGAGGACGGUUCUGCAGGGUCUGCUUUGGAAAUGGGUAAACAAGAUGAGACCAUGUCUCUCUCUGAUUUAUCAACUAGUUUCCAGGAGUGCUUCCACUCUGCUAACAACAAUAGAAAACCUGGAAAGCCUGAGAGAUCUGAAGAACCUAGUGGUUUUUUGCAGCUUAAGCCGUUUGACUUCGAAGCAGCUAGGAAACAGAUCGAGUUUGGAGAAGAUGCCAAAGAAAAAUCAGCUGGGGUUGAUGGAAACAAAAGAAAACCAGUGAACUCUGGAGAUAAGAAAAAAGUUUCAGCUGUAGAUCAAGCUCAAAAAGAUGAUGGAACAAAAGAACUGUCACAAGGUAGACGACGUUCUGCUUUUCCUGCAACUGGAAAUCGAAGUGCAACAUUUCGCUGAGUCUCUGGUAUCAAUCAUGCUGCUCUGUGUAGCAGAAAUUAGUUGAAUUUUGGAUUUUCACAAUCAUGUUCUUGAUUUAAAUGGAAAUUAAUGCUGGUGGACAAAUUCGCAAUGGUUGUACGUAUAUUUCCAUUGCUUGAGGUCUUGUCUGAUACAGCAUGAGCUAACCUGAUCAUCUUUUGAUAUUCAGUAACAGGAGAGAUGUAUGGUCUGCAGGAGCCAAUGAUGGGCAAGUGAUACCUGAGGCCGGUGUCUAUUUGAAGGUAAAAUGGGCGAUGGUUCUAGGUUUCAUAUUAGGUUUUUGAUAGUCUUGAGUAAUUGCCCUACUAUCUUCAUAUUUAAAAAACAGGAUGGUUUCAAACCAAAGUGCGGUUUGUAAUCAAAAGCAUUUGAUCUUUUUGUUUUUGUAACUUUACGGGUUUUAUUUUUAGAAAAAUGGUUCUGUACUAUGGUUUAUUUCUGCCUUAUUUGAUAUUGUGGUCAUCUUAGGCUUUAUUUAGUGUAAUUUUUCAGUUAUAUGUUCGUUUGGGAAGAGGAAAUGAAGUUAAUUUUAUUUCACACUUGCAUAAGAAAAAAUUGUAAUGUUUAUAUUAUUUUUGUUAAAAUUAUUAUUUAAAAAUUAUAUUUGAUAUCUAUUAAUAAUUUUUAUUAUAAUUAUAAUUUUCUUUUUCCUCCAUCAUCUCAAUUGCUUAUAACUGCUGUUGAGGAUGGUUGGUGCGAUGUUAAUAAUUUGUAAAGGGCUUAGUAACAUCUGGUUCCGUGAUGUCGGCCAAACCAUAUCGAAGGGCUUAAUUUGACGGUCAUCGGGGCCUCCUGCCCAGCUGCCCUCCUUUACGGAUUCCGCUUCCGCAAAUUAUUUUAUAUAAACUGUUGUUACAUGAUAGUGGUGGCCGGAUGAAAAUACUACAUGACCAUAUAAUGCUUUCGGUGCAAUGAGUGAAAAAGAGAAAUUUUUAUGUAUUCUCGGAUUGAAGGAGAAAUUUUAAGAUUAAGAUUGUGGAGUGGUAGCAGGAGUAAAUUAUUUACUUACAUCACUAUGAGAGUGUGGAACGAAAAUUAGAAAUUAUGUAUUUUCUUUGUCUUAGAUUGAGAGUGAAUCAUUUUAAAUUAUAAUUUUAUCCUUAUUUAAAGAAUUGUAGUUUUUAAUUAUAAAGUAAAUAAAAAAAUAUAUUUGCACAAUAAAUUAUUUAUUUUGUUAUUAAUUUUAAUUAUAUAAAUUAAUAAUAAUUAUUAUUAUUCUUAAUCAUGUGAAUCAUGAUUUUUUUGUUAAUUUUNNNNNCGUACAGCAGAAAUAAAUAUGAUAUUUUUAUUUUUAAAUAAAUGUGAUAUUAUUUUUAUUUUUAUCAAUAUAAUUAUAUUAUAUUCAAUAAGGAAAUGAUAAAAAGAAAGAAGUGGGAGUAGAUUUCUACUUUUUAUUCAAAAACAAAAAUGAGACCCACAGAGUAGAAGCCUAACUCUCCUCCUUAGAUGAGUACUAAAACGUUUAAGUAGGAGAAAUUCAUAUUUUUGACUCCCACUCUACAAAGUAAACAUAAUAAUAAUAUCAUAAUAACAUUUGAUAAUUCUAUAUAUUUGUGACGUCAUAUCUCAUCAAUUGAUUAAUAAAAUUAAAUGGUGAUUAUUUAUGAAAGAACAAAAUUAAUUCAUGUGAGUUAUGGUUAAUAAAUAAAUAAAAUAUAAAAUGUUAAAUUUUGACUAUAAACUAAUUUCAAUAUCUAAUAAUUUAAAAGCUCAAUAGAGCUAUGAUAAAAACUAAAGGGAGGAUUCUUAAUCCGAUCCGGGAUCUUAAUCAGUUCAGGACCGAUCCACUUCCAGCUAUUACGCGUCAAACAUCCAUUUGACGAUUGACGUGUCACGCCAUCUCACUGUCCUCACAAGAAAACCCGUUACCUUCAAAAUGCUCCAAACCCAUCAACGCCGAAUUCAAAUCAAGCCCCAAGACCAAAUACAAAGCAAAAACAAAUAAACAAACGUCUGUUCAUUCAGUCUGAAAAAAUCAAAAGAAGUAAAAGGAUUGGCGAUGGCGAUGGCGGUUGAAGGAGGAGGGACAUUAUCGGAGAUAUAUCAAAGUGCGAAGAAGUUGCUGUUGAGAGCGAGAGACGGAGUUGAGAAACUGGAGAGACUGGAGAGCUCGACGUCGACUGGGGGAUACGAUUCGCCGGAGCUCUCCUUCGCUGUCAAGAAAGAUAUUUCUCAGAUCCAGUCACUCUGCGUCGAGAUGGAUCGCCUAUGGCGCUCCAUCGCCGACAAGUCUCAGCGCGAUCUCUGGAAGAGGUACCUAUUCAUUUACUGUUUUGCCACGUGGCACCGAAUCAACCUUGUGUCGUGUCCUAAUUGCUCUACGCCAGUUCGGUUGCAAUUCUGUGCAUGAACCGCAAUUUUUAUACUGAAUAUUACAUUAUUGAUUUUGUCUGAGCGACAAGGCAUGCUUCCACGUUUACUUGUUGCUUAGUUUUAUUGUUUUGCCUUCUAUGUUAACAGUCUAUAUAAGUUUUAUAUGUGUUACAGGCAUGUGUAUAUAUGGAAGUACAUUAAUAGCUGUUCAUGCUGUUGCUUGCUUGAGGUCGUUGGUAUAUUUGCAUUUGGAACUAAAUGUGCUUGGUGUGGGUUCGCUAUGUGUGUGUGUGUGUGUGUGUUUGUUUGCGUUUGAUGUUAAAUGGAAUUACCUUCUAUCGAGUCAGUGCCGCAAUUUGAUUGCUUGGUUUUUCAGAGGUGUGUUUUUAUGUUAUGUCAUGCAGAAAAGUUGAACAAGUAGCAGAAGAGGCUGAAUCAUUGAAAGAGAGUCUCGAUAAGUACUUUUUAAGAAAUCAGAGACGGAUAAAUGAAGCUAGAGAGAGGGCGGAAUUGCUUGGAAGAGCUGUAUGUUUAUUCAGUUUUCGUUAGAAGUUUUGAACGGAUUCUGUAGUGUUUUUCUUGUCUGGAAACGAGAAUUAGCUUUCCAAUCUGAUGAAUUUCUUUUAUGUUAUAGAAUGGAGAGUCGUCUCAUAUUUUGAGAAUUUUUGACGAGGAGGCGCAAGCAAUGCAGUCAGUACGCAAUUCAUCGAGGAUGUUGCAAGAAUCGUUUGCAACUGGGACAGCCAUUCUUGCCAAAUAUGCAGAACAAAGGGAGCAUCUAAAGGUAUUGACACUUAAGCUCCUUGUUUACAUGCACAGUUGCACACUAGAAAUUUUUGCCAAGCUCACUCAAACUGUGUGCAAACAAAGUUCACUAAACAGGGUCAAAUGAGAAAUUUACAUUCUUGUCAUGGUUGUAUUCUUAACAUGAUUAAAUAUUUAAAUGAGAACAAUGUUAGAUCCUCAAAGCAAUUAUCUUUAAUAUUGAUUUAUACUACUGCUAUAGAAAUUAUAAGUGUUUGCAGCACCUGCACAAAUGGCUGCAGAGAAUUUAGUCUGUCUAUGGUAAUAAUUUUAAAAGCUGGUAACUCCAAAUAUUCAACAGUGGCUGACAAAAACAAUCCUCAAGUUUUAAAGUAAAAGCAAACUUUGCUUUGAAAUAAUCAGUGACAACAAUGACGUGAAAGUGUCACCAACUGUUUAUAUAUAAUAUCUCCAAUAUUCCAGAAUUUAGUUUCAUAAUGGCUGGCAAAGACUUGGUUUUUUUAAGGUUUAAAGUAAAAACGAUCUCUGCUUUGAAAUGUUCAGUGGCAACAGUGAUGUAAAAUGAUCAGCAACUGUUCAUAUCUAGUAUCUCCAAUGUUUAGAAUUUUGUUUAAAAGAUCCGUUCCAUCCAUAAAAAAAUUUCAUUCUGAAUAAGCAACUCAAGAUUACACUUCGCAAGAACACACCAUCUACCAUUUCUCACAAAUUUAAAUGUCACAACCUAUGAUCCAUUACCAAUUGUGAGAAACGGCAGAUUAUUUGUUCUAAUGAAGUGUAAUUUGAGUUGCUUAUUUAAAAUGAAAUUCUUUUAUGGGUAGAAGGGAACUUCUAAACGAAGUUCUAGGAAUCAAAUUAGCUGUUUAGAUUUGAAUAGUUGGUGAUGCUUUGAUGUCACUGUUGCCACUGAUUCUUCUCGAAAAGAAACAGAUUUUUAAAUGGUAUUAUAGAGGUCACAGAAAAAAAAUAGUCAUGCUAUCAUUGAUAGCACUUGCCACUGAUGUUGAUAAUGAGUUUAACUGAUUAACUUCCAUCUUUGGUUCAGAAAGCACAAAGGAAAGCUCUGGAUGUUCUCAACACUGUGGGUCUGUCCAAUUCAGUAUUGAGGCUCAUUGAGAGGAGGAACCGUGUCGAUACAUGGAUCAAAUACGUAGGAAUGGUUUCUACAGUGGUCAUCUUAUAUUUCUUCUGGAGGUGGACUAGGUGAUCCGAUCUUCAUACUUAGCCACGCAUAGAUCAUUAAUCCGCAUACUUUGGAAUGAUUAAGUUUUGUUCUUGAUAUUUGCCCCAUAAGAGGGUUAAUGAGGAUGUACAAGGCAUUCUUUGAUGAGAGACUAUCCUCUUAUGAGGAUGUAUAAAGCAUUCUUUGUUAAGAGACUAACUCGUAUAGGACGGACUCCCAAAGAAGGUUCUUUGCAAUUCUUGAACAUUUAGAGCGAAGUUGACGAAACGUGCUAGUUGUUUUUGUAUUUUGGCAAAAGGGGAAUUACAGAGUUCGAAGAUUCUAAGAAAUGCGCCAAUUUUGUUUUGUUGUCAGAACGCAAAAACGGCCUGAUUGUGGACGGUUAAAUCCGGAAUUAUGUAGUGGAUUUGCAGUUAUUGAAGGGCAUGCUUGGGAAAAUAAUAUGGUCAAAUAAAAUCAAGAACAAUUAUAUUGUAUCUGCUGUUUAUGCGUCCGUACUUGAAGGUGUCCACGUGGCUGGUGUGUGUUUGUUAAACCAGUAAAAUUAAGUAGUGCGAAGUUCUGAUCGCCGCUCAUUGAUUGUUUUUUUUUUUAACUUUAAAUAAACUAUGAGAAAAGGCUUUGAAUGAGUCGCAGAUAAAUUAAAGUUUUUUUUUUCUUCUUCUAAAUUUAUAUCCAAUGGUUCGGCACAUGUUAUUUUCUUUAUUUUUAGUGCACACGGUAAACUAUUGAUAGUAUUUGGUGUAAACUCACUUUCAAAUCGAUGCUUCACGAAAAGUCCAAAUGACGCGCUAUGAAAGUAAUAUAGAUAACUAGGAUAAGUGGAAAUGAUAAACGAAUAAAAUGAAGUAAAAAGAAUUUUUCAUUUUUAAGGGUUACAAAAUAAGAAUAGUUAAUUACUUAAUUAGUUGACUUGCUAAAAAUUUUUCAUGCAAACAAAUGGUCUGGACUGGAAUCCGUUUAAAUGGAUAGGAAGAAAAUUAGAGUGUCGUAAAAGUACUGGAGUUUCAAAUCCCCUCACGUAGUCACAAGGAUUAGAAGAAAAUUGAAUUGUUAGGCAAAAUGAAAAAAAAGAAAAAAGCUUAACAUUUUUAUUUUCUAAAAAAAUGUUUUUCUUAGUUGUUUUGUUUUUUAAUUUUAAAUAUAUUUAAAAUUUUGAAAUUAAUAAAUGACUUUGAAAACUUGAGUGUGCUCGAGCCUCGAGAUCUACUCAAAUUCUUUUACAUUAUUACAUUAUGAAAAAUUGUAUGAUGUCGUGAUUAAACUAUUGUAUCAAUACUAUGAUAAACAUAAAUUUUAGAAAUUAUAUAUAAGACUAGUAAGUGAAAUGUAAAAUAAAUUAAUUAAUAUAAGAGUGGUAAAUAAUGUUUUAAAAUUAUAAACAAAACAAACACUUAUAAAAAUAACAUAAAAAUUAUAAAUCAACAUUAAAUUUUAAUGUAAAAAUAGUUUAUUUAUUUAAUUUAUUCAAGCAAAGAAAAACUUUACUCAUCAAUUGAAAACAAAAAUUUUGUAUUGAAAACAAUGGGAAUAAGUUUUAUUAAUUGAUUUAACCAUGAAUUUUAUAUUCAUGUCAGGAUAUUUAUAAACUGUUUUUUUUUUUCAUUUUCUAUCAUAGUAUUUGUUUACUAUACAAGUUGAUUAAGUAAACUUAUUAUUAUUAUUAGUAUUAUUAUUAUUAUUUAUGUGGAUCAAGCCAAAACAAAAUAAAAAUACAUUUGAAUAUUACUAGACAUAUAUGGAAUAUUAAUACAAUUGAAUCUAACUUUCAGUUUUAUACAUAAUUCAUCUAGUUUCAAAUUUUACUUCUUAUACUAAAAGAUCAUUUGAGGUUGCUAUCGAGGAGGUUUAAAAUGAUGCAAAAUCACUUAUAUCACAAAUAAAAUAUGAAAAAAAAUUUCUAAAAUUUGAUUUUGAGAGUAAGUUUUAUCCUUAAUAAAAUUCCACAUAUAUUAUCACGUCUAUUACAUAACCACAGAAUUAUCAUUAUUUGAUUUAGAAAUAAAAAUAGUAAAUAUAUAAUGUAAUCAUUAUUAUAGUGAGUUUUUAUUUAUUUUUUCAAUAACUCUUAUAAUAUUUACUUAUUUUACAUUCAUUUACAACUCUUCUAUUUUACUUUUAUAAUUUAUAUGUUAUUUUACACUUAAUGUUGAUGUACAAGUUUUAUAUCACAUUUGUAAACAAGUUUUACUUUAUAUUUACAUGUAUUAUGUUUUAUUUACUUAAUUCAUGUUUUAUUUUAUACUUAAUGUUGAUUUACAAGUUUUAUAUUAUAUUGAUAUAAGUUUUUAUUUUAUUUACUAAUGAUAUAUCAACUUACCACUGUUAAUUUACUUAUUUUACCUUCAAUUUGCAAGUCUUGUGUUUCAUUUACAUAAUUUAUUAUGUUUUAUUUUACGUUUAAUGUUGAUUUACAAGUUUUAUGUUAAAUUUACACCUCUUAUAUUUUAUUUACACAAUUUAUGUUCAAUUAUAGUAUAUUAUAGAAUGACUCAUUUGACAUUACAAUACAAAAUUAUAAACAUAAAUAGAUGUAUCAAAAAGUCUUGUCGAAAAAUGAAUCCACCUUAAUACGGACCUGUCUCAUUGUUUUAUAAUUAAAGUUGCACACUCUUACAAUGAACUUGAAGAAAUUGAAUUCUCAACAUCAAUAAUGAGGUGUCUAUUACUAAUAAUAGUUUAUAAAAAAAAUAAAAAAAAUAAAGAAAUAUGAUUAAAUUGAUCAAUGUAAUUUUAUUAAAAAAAAGAAGCAUUUUUAUUACAAAAGCAAUCUCAAAAUAUAUAUUUUUUGUAGUUACAAAAAAUCAUGACCUAGUGGCGACCUAGUGGCGACCUGGUGGGCGUAUAUACAAAAAUCAUAAUAUUUUUAUACUGAUUACAUAAAUUCGGUGAUCACAGACCACAGUAAAACCCUGAAACCGCCCAACGGGGUUCUUUACCAGAGGAAAAAAGGGAGGAAAGAAAAUGACUUUUUAAUAUAACGGCACGGGUUUAAGCCAAAAACGGUGGAAUCAAAUCAUUGACACGUUCGUGCGAUGCCUUCACUCCUCAGGCAAACCAGACUCCCGCAUGUGAAUGCCACGUGAACGUAGCUUCUUCACAUAAUUUUUACCCCAAUGUCCAAAUUACCCCUUAUCUUUUACUCCUUUUUUUUUCUUUUUAACUUUGCCCGAUUUUGAAGUCUAUUACGUAUUGCGGACUGCUGCCCUCGCUUGACGUGUUUUUUCUCCUUUUUUUUUUUUUUCCCUCUCCAAACUAUUCUUUUCAAUUUUAACUAAAUAAUUUUUUUUUUUAUUACGAACAUCAACUUAAAAUUUAGGUUAGUUAGACACUUCCCCACUUCAUCCUUAAAGUCAAGUAUUCAUAUCUAUCUGUCUAUGGUGAAUAAUUUUUUUUAUUUUUUAAACUACGAACAAGUUAUCUUUUUUUUUUUUCUUUUCCAAUAUCACUAUUUAUCCACUUUUAGUUUAAUUCUUUCUGCCUAAGAUGAUCAAUUUAAAUUAAAAAUGGGAUUUUGAAAUUAUUUACUAAAAAUCAUGAUUGUUCUUUUGACGUAUUUGAAUAAAGUUUAUUUGGAAAAAUUAAUGUAAAAAAAAAAAAUGUUGGAAGAUUACGACAAUGGAAAUGUAGUCUCUGGUGAAAUGCUCUGAUUCAAUCAAUCAUCAGCAAAUGCGGUUCGCACGUUGGCAAUGGAACUCGUGAUAGCACAACCGUGAAAUGUCCUUCAUUUGGGAGUCCACGUUAAUCACAUGUGGGUCCAUCUUGAGUGCUUUUGUGCUUUACAAUUAAAAUAGACAGACAGGCUGAUGACCUGACAAUUUCGAGCCUGAUAAAGCCCCUUCAUCAACUUGAUCAGAAGGACAGGACAGCUAUUAAUAGAAAAAAGCAGCAGACUAGUACUAAUCGAGAAGUCAAACAGAUAAAAACUAAAACUAAAUAAUCUAAUCUCCUCCUAAUUCACUAAAUUAUUUUAUUUCUAUUGGUAUAAUUAAUUAAUUGAUUGAUUAAUCAAACAUGCCUUCACAAUUAAAUAGUUUCAACAGUGUAAGUUGAACCACGUGUCAAGCAAAAGCAACCAUCAUUUAUUAUAAUUUUUUUUUAUUUUUUUCGAAAAAGGAAAAAUCAAAAAACAAGGCAAGUUGAUGCCAACAGGAUCUGAUCCGGAAGGGUAACCGAGUCAUUUCGCCGUCAUGCAUGCCUCAAUCCGGAUUGCCUGCCCGCCCCCACGUUGGAAAACCAGGGACGCAUCGAUAAGCAGUUUCAACACCCAAAACACAAACUUGGGGGCGGGAAUUGCAAAACGAAAUAACAGCUUUUGCUUUUGCUUUAAUUUUUUUCCGUUUGUUUUCUUAAAAAGAAAGAAAAAAAAAAAUACUCCCAGUUCCACAAUAGAGCCCCUGGUUUUGCCUAUUUCUUUAAUCCUUUUACGCAGACUCAUGAUAAAUAUCUCCAUCUAUCAGUCAGUCCAUACGGUUUCCUUUCAUCACCAACCCCACCAACGAAAACAAAAAAAACAAAACAAACCCCCUCUUCAGAAAUAUAAUUAUAAUUUUCUUUUUCUAUUGAAUUAAGCUUGUUGGGUAUAAUUUGCUAAUUAAUCAAAGAUCGAUCUAUGACGACGGAAGCGGUCAGCAAGGUUGGAUAUGCGCAUAGUAAGGUUGCUAUGAAGAAGAAGAGCGGUUAUCGAGGUCGAUGCAGGAGAAGAAAUCACGACAGAUAUGCACCCGAUAAUAAAACGGUGCCGAUGGCGCUGCAGCGUCUGUUUCUUUCUUGCAAAGACGUCUUCAGAGGCCCUGGAACCGUUCCCGCUCCUUCUCAUGUCCAAAUGUUGUGCUCUAUUCUUGGUAAGUGUUUUUUUUCUUACACUUCAUCAUUUCUGGUCCAAUUUUCUUGUUUUUCAUUUGGCCGCUGCACUCGCAUGACGUGUAUGUUGUGAAAUCUGAACCCAUCAUCAUCCUUCAUCCAUGCACAUAUAUAUUAUCAGUCAUGAGAAAUUUUGAAUCAGCCAUUAAAAAAAGAAAAAAAAAAAGAAAAGGAAAGAUUCAAUAUUAUCAAAUCAAUACCAUUUUGUUUCAUGAGAUGAUCUAUGAAAGAUGGGAAAGGAGCACUGCUCCUUAUUUCAUUUCCUGUCACGUCUGUGUUUCAAUCAAUUGUAAUAAUACAUAUAGCCACGUAAAAAGCAAGGGGCAAUACUCUUUACAGCACGAAAACCUUCUCAAAAAAGGGGCUUUACUUUAUUGGCAGUAAUGAAUUGUUUUGAGCAAUUCAAUUCAUCAGUGCACUUAUCAUGUUUACGUAGUUUGUCAAUUUGGUUCCAGUUUUUGGUUCUUUUUAUUGGAUUCAGUGCCGAAAUGUCAUGUGUGUUCAUAGGACGUACUGGGAAAAGGAUUAGAAAUCUGUACUGAAUUUUUUUAAAUUUUGGGGGGGGGUUUUUUUUUGGGGUGGAUGGGGUUAUGGAUCUAAGUGGAUGGUACCAAUUUUCAAAAAUGUAGUUUAAUUAACUUUCCAGUUGAAAUUACAAAACCAAACCAUCCGAAAUGGAUUCUUCGAGAAAAGGUGGGUUCAGAAAACAAAGUGGUUGCUUCUAGGUGAAUCCAGAUUUUUUUCACGCGGACACAUGGUACCUUUUGGUUGAUUACCCAGCCACAGUGUUGCUUGAGGGGACAAAAAUAUCAUAUUUGUUUUUUUUUUUUUUUCCAAAUUCCUUUUUAAUUCGUAACUCAAUCUCAUGGGAUCCUACUCAGCAGCCAUUGUGAUUAUUUUUUUUACCUGACGACGCAAAAAUCUUUGCAUUAGAAAGGAUACAUAAGCACAUUUGCCUACUGUUGCUACGUGUACAUGUGCAAUGGUUUGGUUGCAAAACUGGAAGCAUUGGCACAUUAUAUAUAUGUGUGUUUUUUUUUUUUUAAUAUGUAUAAAUGCAUGGAUCAUGACACUUGGCUAAGUUAAAAUUUCCAUUUUCUCGUUAUCAUAAAGAUUGCCAGUGACUCAAACAAGCUUUUCUUUUUAAAUUUAUGAUGCUACAGAUGAAAUGAAGCCAGAGGAUGUUGGGCUUAGCAGUAAGUUACAGUUACUUAGUGCCAAAGAUGCAAUGAAAGGGACGCCAAUUGUCACAUCCACUACAAUAUACAAAUGCCAGAACUUUUCGGUAAAGACAUAAGCUAUUCAUAUUGGGCUAAAUUAAAUUCUUUUAUUAUCGUAUACUAAUUUGUAAACCAUACUAAUUAAUAGUGCAAAUUUGAUUUAGAACUUGAUAGAUUACCUUUUGGAUUCUCUUUUGUGCAGUUGUGUCUUUUCUUUCUUCCUCCAACUGCUGUGAUCCCCUUGCACAACCAUCCGGGAAUGACUGUUUUUAGCAAGCUUUUGCUCGGGACAAUGCACAUAAAAUCGUACGAUUGGGUCGAUCCUGUUGACGCAAACGAUUCUGCAGCCCCCACAAAACGUGAGUACCGCUUACCUUAUACAUAUAUGUCCAUGUAUAAUGCACACACGAACACACACACACACACACUCACAUAUCAAAACAACACGAUAACUUGAAUGUGCUAGCUCGGACUAGGAUGAUCAUUUGUGACUGAAAGUGAUGAUUUAAUUAAUUUGCAGCGCGAUUGGCGAAGUUGAUAGCCGACAGUGAUUUCACAGCACCUUGCAACACUUCUGUGCUAUAUCCAACAACAGGAGGCAAUAUCCAUGAAUUCACAGCCAUUACGACAUGUGCCGUGCUCGAUGUGCUUGGACCUCCCUACUCUAAGGACGAUGGUCGGGACUGCUCAUAUUACAAGGAGUUGCCACUUCCCGCGGUUCCAAGUAAGCGAAACAAAACCACUUGUUACUGAUUAAAAACAACCUCGUUUAAACCUCCUCGAGUAGCGCUUUCAGAGGUCUUACCAAUUAAACCCACCGAUUUUGUUAAUGCAGAUGGAGAGAAUCAGGAGGCAAAAGAGGAUGAUGGUGGUGAGAGUUGUAGGUGGUUGGAAGAGAUUGGGGUGCCAGAGAACUCACACAUGGAUGAAAUUGAGUACUUGGGACCGCAGAUAAUUGAGUAGUAGCUGUAACUAGCUUCAGCCCACAGUCGCGUGAUAAAAAAAAAUUUCAACGCAUUAUCUUCUUUUGUUUCAUAGCUAGUCAAUGGUUUUGUAUUUAUAUAUACACAUAUAUUACGUUGUUUCCUGACCUGAGUUUUCACUAUGUUAAUAGCAAAAUUUCAUUUCUUUUUCUUUUUUCUCUUUAAUCCCGGUAUCUUCUUUAAUAACUUGAUUACUUGAGUACACUGUACCAUUGAAAUCAUGGUUCAUGCCAUAGUUCCCUUAGAGGAAGGUCCAAACCCGGCUUAGGAGAAAUGGAGGUUUGGGCUGUCGAGGGCCUUGGUGUUGCUAUGUUCCCAAGAGAUGUUUACUUGGGCUGUCGAGCGCGCCGAGAAGUGCUUAAUAUUACAUCAAUGGGCCGGGCUUGUAACCGACUACUACACAUUCCCAUGGCGGCAAUCCUGAUCAGUAAUUAACUUGGGAUUUUGCAUUCAAUGAUUGCCACAAUAAUAUCAGCAAACUUUUCAGAAGAACCUUAAUUGAUAAUUGUCAUUUUGCAAUCAUAGGUUAGUUGAUGGAUAUACCAUGGGCCCUGAAAAUUAAUUAAAAUAUCAAACAUUGUAUGCUCCUAGGUUGGAAAUUUUUCAAAAUUUUCAAUAGAAAAAUAACCUCAAAAUCAAUAUUUUACAUGUGAAGAUCUGUUUCAUUAACAAGCGCGAUGGGCCAAACGGAGGGAGCCAGGAAUUUUAAGCUGUUCAUAUUUGACGCCCUAAUUUGGGAUUUGCUAAUACGGAAAAACUUUGAGCUGCUCACUAAUUUAUAUCUUGACUUCGAGAAUCUGCGCAAUUACUAAUUAGUAGCCAUCAAUAAUUGUCAAAAAUCAAUUUUGAAUUUCGAUAUUUUUGAAUGCAUUGGUGUUACGUGUUUCUCCAUACGCGUUAGUAAAUUUGAGAUGGUGUAAAUUUGUAAUAAACUAAUAAUAUCUUCUUUUUUUUAUAAUUUGAAAAUCAACCCAAUCUGAUUCUCUAAAUUAACAAGAUCAAAUUGACUAUCCAAUGUUCAUUCACUAGGAAAGUCCUAAAGGUCCCUCUAAACUAGAAAGUUACUCAAAUCUAUGGCCAAAAUAAAGUCUUCUUAUAAUUAAAGAAACAACCCAUCUUUUUUUAAGAUCUUCUGACAAUGAAUUUUCAAUUAUGAUGGGGUUUGAAGUUUUGAAAUUUUCUAAGAAUUAUUAACAACUGAAAAGAGAAAGCAAAAGAAAAAGGACGAUGUGAUAUGGCAUGGGACAUGGACUUCCCACCACCUUUACAUUGCCAUCAUGCAAAAAAAAAGCUCUCAAUUUUAUGCUUAGCUUGUUCUUGUUUUCUUUCUUUUAUCACUUCUUUAUUACGUGGGUCUUGAAUUCUCAAUAGUUUCUAAUUGUUAAAAAACUCCAUGAAAAUUGCUUUCCCUAUUGUAAUACCUCCAUUAAGGAGAAUGAAGGGUUAAAAAUGUACCGACAGAUACUGGAAAAUUAUUGAAUGAAGUAAUCAACAUGAUUGUUCACUGACAAUAUUAUAUUCGGAAUAAUGAUAGCUGGUUGUUUUGGAUUGUUUUAGAUGUUGUAUUAGCCAAUUAGGCAUAUUGGUAUAUAUUAUUAUUAUAUGAAAUACUAUUGCCUUUUUUAUUAGCAAAAGACUUUCGGUUAAGAUUUUGCUUAAUUACACGAUUGCAUCGUGAUUGUUUUUAAGCUUCAUCAUUCAAUUCCAAAACUUAACGUAACAAAAGAUCUUACUAACAAUACUAUUUUAAUACCCAUUUUUUUCCCAGUCACGUGAGUGUAUAUGAUCUCCAUAUCUUUGGUACUAUAUCUAAAAAAUUUUUCCAAUCAAAUUAAUUAACACCCGCAGCUACAUUUAAGCAAAUUGUUCUAAGCCGCUAGGGUUUAAUCUAGUAGUUAAAACACAACCCUUACAAUUGUGAGAUUAUGCGUUCGAACCCUCACAACAAUACAUUGUGGGGGUUUAAUUUUCUUCUCUAAUUUGAGUGAAAGCAGUCUCAUAAAAAUAUGGAUUGUGCUUGUCCCAAAAUUAUUUAAUUAUAAAUAUCAGUAUACUAAUCUCAUAAAAUAUAAGUAAAUACGAGUUGGAAUAUGAUCAAUAAUGUCAUAUAAUUUUUUUUAUUUAAAAAAAAAAAAGCAAAGUGCUAUGCAAUCCACUUGAUAUUACGACAAUAACUGGCACACUAAUGAACAACUAGUAAAUUCAUUUUAAAAGAAAUAACACCCCAAAUCAUUAAUAUUUAAAAAGAAUCAUUUGAAAAAAUCUUAAAAAGUGUUCGGCAAUCCACUUGUCAUUGUAACAAUCACUCACACGCCACUGAUCAACUUUAGUUUCAUUCAGUAUGCCGAGAAAUAGAAUUUAAAAAUAACAACACCUCAAAAUCAUACAUAUUUGAGAAGAAUCACAUGAAAAUUGAGCAGGUCAAAUAGUUGUGUAUAGAACAAAUUUUUUCAUGAGACAGGCUGGAUAGCAAGAAAUGGAAGCCAACUGUGAGUUUCGGUCUUUCAUAGAAUUUGGCCUAACGUUGUCACAUUCACUAUUCACGUACCCAUAUUAUCAUCAUCCCAGUGGGCACUGGCACUGCUGAGUGCUGACCCAAUAGAACAAAAUAAUAAUAAUAAUAAUAAUUCCCACUUGCUCAAUAUUUUAUUCUUUUCAUUUUAAUUGUCAUUUUCCCAAGUAAAUAAAAACCUUUUAUGCAAUUAAUUCUGCUUGUCGGGUGGAUGAGGUGGUUCAUCACGUUCAAAUGUUCAAUCAAUGACAAUUUUAUCGCAAAUUCCAUUGCUUAUAAUUGUUGUAACCAAACAAAUCCCUGGUGCCUGCACUAACACCUUAGCUUCAUUUUCAAUUAAGGCGGUUUUCAACAACUUAUUAACUUUAUUUUUAAAGAAAAAGAAAUCCCAAGUGUUUUUCUCACUAAUUGAUUGCUUAAAAAUACUUAAGAAAAUUACCCACAAAUAAAUUAACGAUAAACAUUUAGUACUAGCUUAUGAUUUUUUUGGGGGGGGGGGGGUUUCUAAUAAAAUUUGGAUUAUUUGGGUUUUAUAUUUGAGAAAAGUUAAGUUACGACGAUCGAUAAUUAUAUACCCUUAAAUAAUUAUUAUCUAAUUUGGAUAUUUUUAUAUCUUAAUGAGUUCGUGUUGAUUUGCCAAUCUUACAAGUCUUUAUUUUACAAAAUAUAGAUAUUUAGAUUGAAAAAAACAUAUAUAUAUAUGUAUGACAGUAUGAGUAGUGUAUAUGUUACAAGAUAUUUUAAAAUUUAAUACUUUAGUUGAGAAAUGCCAUCACCCUCAACUACUCGGUUACAAGAAUAUUAUUGCGUUAUUUAAUAUUCUGUUAUCGAUUGCUUUAUUAGGAAGAAAUAAUGAAAAAUGGGACAUCCAUUGCUAAAGUACAACACAACAUUGUUGACAAGUGAGUCCCCCUUGAAGUGACAACUAUUUUUUUUCUUCCUUAAUAAAGGACGAGCUAUGUGUAUGUGGUUUUGCCGUGCAACCCAAGUUUCAAUGUCUGUAUCAUUUAUAGGGGGAAACCUUAGGUGCAACCCACACACGCCACUCGGCUUUUGGCAGCCUGGUUGAGAGGGCAGCAGUUAUUUUUGUGGGGGCUAAAACAUUCAUUCUUUUUUUCUUUUGUAAUUUUUCAUCUGUGAGGAUUAUUUGUCAAUAUAGAAAUUUGAUACUGUAAUCAAUAUUAAAAAAAAAAAAAAAAGUACCCACACAUACACACAUAUAUCUAAGAAAAUAAAUGAUGAAUACUAUGUAAGAGAAAAUUUGGUAGUUACAGGGUGAACACUUUCUUAUCAAAAUAAUAAUAAUAUAAUAAAUUAGAGACCCUCCUGAAUAUUUCCAACAUGCUUCUCAAAUUGCAUGAGUGUUGGAUUCAUCAACUUAUUAUUAUUAUUAUUAUUAUUAUUAUUAUUAUUUUAUCAUCAAUUGAUGUGCAAAAGGGUGAUGUUAUCAGUUAUCACGGCCUCCUGAGAAAAAAAAAAACUUUAAAUUCAACGUGAAAUGAAAAAUGUAAGGAAUCAAAUCGAAUUGUCAAAAUGAAAUGAGAGGCGAACAAUUUAACUGUUCAGAAAAGAAGCAAAGGCGCCAAAAGCAACGGACGGAACAUAAAAGUGGGUCCCACGUUUCAAAGGGACAAAACCAGAGAAAGCCAAAGCCCACCCCGCAACGAAAGUGAUGCCAAAGCUUACAAUUUGUAUUACCUUAAAAAUUCUGUUCGGUUCAUUUAAAUUUUAUUAUAAAAUCAUUUUCAAAAUUCCAAAUUUUAUAACCAAAAAAUUCGCUGCAUGCAGCGAGAAAGCAGCAAGUGAAGAAUAAAGGGUUCCCCCCGUCAGCAAGAAUCUUUUCUUUUUUUUUUUCGCUUUUUUUUUUCCCUUUGUUUUUUAAGAAAGCAAAAAUUAAGAGAGCAUUAGUUUUGCUGUCAUGAUAAGUAUGGUGUUCAAGAGAGUGUCGGCUAGUGGGAAGUGUUUUGUCAUUCAGUCAUUGUGUUUGCAAUUUUCUUAUGAACCCGUGUCAAUAAAAUGUCUUGGCUUGUGAACAGAAACUGAAAUUGAGCUUCUUUGUGUGUCAGUGAGAUUUACAGUGUCUGUGCAUUGAAUGUAUGGUUGCUAAAUUUUUGCUUUUUUCUUCUUCUUCUUUUCUUUUUUCCCCCCGAAGUGGAUAGUCAAGAAAUAUGAAGAGAUUAUGACUUGAGAUUUUUUUUUAUUUUAUUUGAAGUGAUGAUCUGAAUUAACUGGGCUUUGGUUUCUAUGGUAGAAGUUUUGUUCUAUUUUGUGAGGGGAUUUCUUCAUGAGUUAGGCAAGGAAUUAAUUCGUUUUGAAGUUAGAAUUUAUGUGUUCAAAGUUAGUUUCAAGUGACCUUUCUAAAGUCUUUAAGGUAUAUUGUUGGAAAUUAGCUGGCUUUUUUGUUCAAUCAGUCUCUCAAGAGGUAAGCUCCUUAUGAUCCUUUAGAAGUUUUUAGUUAUGAUAAUGUCGAUUGAUAAAUUAUCUGUAAUUUGUAUAAUAUUUGCAGAGUUUCUGUUGAUCUUGGGAGCUGGCGCUUCUGUAAUUGAGAAGCUAGAGGCAUCACUCUGUUAUCCCAGCGGAUUUUUAAAAGCUCUAGAAUCCCUUUGUGAUUUUCUCUAGUGUUCCUUUUUGUAUGCAUUGAUGGCAAGAGCAUCCAGAUUCAGUCAGUGUGCACUUCUGGUGCUUGCUUACAUUUUGCUUCAGGUCAAUCAUUCGGAGCAACUGCAGUCUUCUCAGGCUCAGACCCUUUUGAGGAUUCAAGGGCUUUUAAACAAUCCAACUGUUUUAAGCAGCUGGAAUAUCACCACUGAGUUCUGCAAUACAGAACCAACCUCGUCUUUAACUGUAGUAUGCUACGAAGAGAGCAUAACCCAGCUGCAUAUAGUCGGCAACAAGAGAGCUCCUACGUUGCCUCUAAGCUUUUCCAUGGAUUCCUUUGUGACGACUCUUGUUAAGCUUCCGGACUUGAAAGUCCUCAGGCUGGUUUCUCUAGGUCUAUGGGGUCCCUUGUCUGGUAAAAUUUCACGUUUAUCGUCACUGGAAAUACUUAAUAUGAGCUCAAAUUUCCUGAAUGGUUCUGUACCUCAGGAGCUUUCAAUUUUAACUAGCCUUCAAACACUCAUACUUGAUGAAAACAUGCUUGCUGGUCGGGUUCCAGAUUGGUUGGGUUCAUUACCGAUUUUGGCUGUUUUGAGCUUGAGGAAUAAUAUGUUCAAUGGGACUUUGCCUGAUUCGUUUAGUUACUUGGAGAAUCUUAGAGUUCUUGCGCUUUCAAACAAUCACUUUUACGGAGAAGUUCCUGACUUCAGUGGUUUGACUUACCUUCAAGUACUUGACUUGGAAAAUAAUGCUUUGGGACCUCAGUUUCCUAAAGUUGGCAAAAAGUUGGUUACAAUGAUACUGAGCAAAAACAAGUUCAGGUCUGCCAUUCCUGCUGAAGUGAGUUCCUAUUAUCAGCUUCAGCGGCUAGAUCUCUCAUCUAAUAGAUUUGUUGGACCAUUCCCUCAAGCACUUUUAUCCUUACCUUCUAUUACUUAUUUGAAUAUUGCUGAUAACAAACUCACGGGGAAGCUUUUCGAUGAUCUUUCUUGCAAUCCCGAACUUGGAUUUGUGGACUUGUCAUCAAAUCUGCUGACUGGACAGUUGCCGGAUUGUCUACUUGCAGGUUCUAAAAACAGGGUUGUCCUGUAUGCUAGAAAUUGUCUAGCAGCUGGAAAUGAAAAUCAACACCCGCUUUCCUUUUGUCAGAAUGAGGCUUUGGCAGUGGGAAUUUUACCUCUGCAAAAGAAGCAGAAACAAGUUUCCAAAGCAGUUCUUGCGUUGAGUAUAAUAGGAGGAAUUAUUGGGGGAAUCUCACUUUUUGUGAUUGCUUUCUUGCUUGUUAGGAGAACUAAGUCCAAGCAAACAAUGAAGAAGACUCCAACAAGAGUAAUUCAAGAAAAUGCUUCAACUGGGUACACCUCGAAGUUCCUCUCAGAUGCAAGUAAGGCUUCAUCUCCCCUUAAUCCCCCUGCCAAGUAAUUCCCAUUCUGUGUUUCUGUUGAAAUCAAGCAUGAAUCUGGGCACACCUCAAAGCUGCUACUGGAGUCAUGCAUUGUGCAAGCUUUAAUGUAUUUAUGCAUGUGUCCACACACAAUGUAGUGUUGCAUUUUUAGGACAUAGGACCGUAAGUUUUAAUUGAAAGGUUGUCUUUGAAUACUCUAUUUUGAUCAUCCAACUUGAAGCCCUCACAUAGAAAUUAUUGACCAGUCAGUUGCAAGAAAUCGAGUGAUGAUUGUGUUCUUGUCUUAAAGCCAGUUAAUAAUAUUCUUGAACUGUUAAAUUGUUGUCCAAGUUUUAAGCUAUAUUAAAAUUGACCAUAUGAUCGUUUGUGCCCCCUGAAGGGUAUAUUUCUCAAACAAUGAAGUUGGGAGCACUUGGUCUUCCAGCUUAUCGAACCUUUUCCUUGGAAGAGCUUGAGGAAGCUACAAACAACUUCGACACCUCUGCUUUCAUGGGUGAAGGUUCUAAAGGGCAGGUAUGCUACUCUGGUACAAUAUAUAUAUGAUGCCUACUUUCAUGUCGCAAUGAUGCACAGUAUGACAGUUCUGACAAUUUGUAUUUUCCCUUUGCGUGAUCCGUUCAAAGAACGGAAAAGGAAAAGUUGGUCCAGCAUUUCUCUACACCUCACAUAUUUCAUGCUUGCAGAUGUACAGGGGUCGCCUGAAGAAUGGUACCUUCAUUGCCAUUAGGUGCCUUAAAAUGAAAAAAAGCCACAGCACUCGAAACUUCAUGCACCAUAUAGAGCUGAUAUCAAAACUCAGACAUUGUCAUUUAGUCAGUGCUCUUGGACACUGCUUUGAAUGCUACUUUGAUGAUUCAAGUGUUAGCAGAAUAUUUCUCAUCUUCGAAUACGUUCCAAACGGCACACUAAGGAGCUGGAUAUCUGGUAAUUCAUGAAAAUCUUUAAUUCGUUUCUCAGGGUGGAGGAUAUAAAGUAAUUAAAGCCACUCUUUUGUACUCCUCUGCUCUAUAAGCCGGCUUUAUGGGGUCUUCAAAAGUAGCUGUGAAUUUUUUAACCUUGAUCCUGCGUGUAGUCAUUGAAUAAAGUAAUCAAUCAGUCUAGAUAGUUCAGUUUCCUGCAAGUAAUUAAUUUACUUAAAGAGAAUAAUUCGUGGUUUUUAAAAUAUAUUGUUCAAAGUCAUCAAGAAAAGACCGAAUCGGAAUCAUGUUCCAUAGUAAUCACAAGAAAUUACUAUUUUAUGUCCUCCAUCCUGACUUGUUGUUAUAUCCAGUUAAUCAAAUUAUGCCUUUAUGUUCUGGCUGGUUUCAAAGUCUUAGAUACUUUUAUGCAGAAGGGCAUGCCUGGCAAUCACUUACUUGGACACAACGUAUAUCAGCUGCAAUAGGGGUGGCAAGGGGCAUACAAUUUUUACAUACAGGGAUUGUGCCUGGUGUAUUUUCAAAUAAUUUGAAAAUAACAGACAUUCUACUAGAUCAGAACCUUGUUGCAAAAAUUAGCAGUUAUAACCUGCCUUUAUUAGCAGAAAAUGCCGAGAAGGUAAAAAGGAGAGAAUCUUCCUUUUCAUCAUUCUGUCCAUCUUUUCCAGUGCCAUGCACUUUUCAGUUGAUUUGUAG
rnacentral:lncRNA from 1 species